CUUUAAAUUGAGGUAAGUUCUUUGGUUUGUCUUCUUCGAUUGUAGUUUUUUUUUCUGAUGAUUGAUUUAUUCAAAAACUCCAUAUAGUUUGCCUUUUGAUACUUCUAAUUCAAAAAACUGACUAAUUGUAUUGUUUUUCUUAGUAGAUUCCAGAGAUUCUGUCUCUGGUCAAAGUACAAUUUGAGAUAAUGUUGUCACUUUCUAAAAUAAUCAGAAAAGCAAUUUUAUCGUCUUUUCCUCAUCAACCAAUGUAUUAUCUCUUUAUUUAAGUCAAAUAACCUUAUUUCUCAUGAACUUUUUAUAUUAUUCUUGACUCUAGGGAUCUGUUGACUAUAUUCCAGCAGUUAUGGUUCAAGUAGUUAUUUUUUCAUGUAAUAUGAUUUGAUAUUCAACUUGUGUUUAUUUUAAUUGAGAAUUUUAUGAUUGUAAAAUUUAUUAACUUAGAAUUUUGUACUUCAUUGAAACUAAAAAAGAAAAUUAAUCAUGCUACAUAGUACUAAGAUGUCAUUUGCACUUUAUUUGCUUUCCAUGUUAUGAUAUUGUUCUUGUAUUAUACUGUUUAUAUAGUUUCAAAUACAAAAAAAUUACUUUUUUAUACCAUGUAAAAGAAUUUGUAAUGGAACUUGAUUAGUUUAAAUGCUUUAACUACAGCACCAUUUUGAUUGCAUUGUAUUAAUUCAUUUACUCAUAAUUAUAUGUUGUACAAUGAUAAAUAAUGUUUCUUGAUUUGAUUGAAGCAACUAUUAUCCAUAGUUCAAACGAGUCAAUUAAGUAGAGAUGUUAUAUUGGAUACUUAUACAAGUAAAUAUUGAAAAAUAUCAUUAAACAGUUUCUACCUAUAAUUUGCAAUUCGAAUUCAUAUGAAGAAUUUCUUCUGAUUUUACUUACCAUUUUCUACAAUUUCAAAUUUAGAGAAUAUUAUUUGCACCAAUUUUUUAUAAUCAAGAUAGUUUCAAUUCAGAUCUUUAACAAUUAUGCAGAUUUGAACUUAUUUAUGAGAUUAUAAAAAAAAUAUCCCUAGCAAAAAACAUCAAAUCUGAAUAGUUUCUACAAAAUUUUGAAAAAUACCACUUAAGUUUCUUAACUAUCUAUCAUUUUUUGAUAGUGUUAUCUCUGUAAGAAACAUAUGAUUAAGUCGUAUUAUACCCACCAAAUUAUAUAAAUAGUUAAUAAAAAAUAAAAUUAUUUUAGAUUAGAUUGGACGCAAAGUAACUGAUGGAUAAACUUGACUUAAUAAUUCAGAUUGAGCUUAAGUCGAGGGAGAAAUCAGAAGCAUUGCUUGAGGGAUCUUUUACGAAUAUAUAUAGAUUCGAGAGAUGAAGGGUCCAAUUGAUACUUUAAAAUAUUUUAUCAUCUUGGAUAAGUUUUAAAAGAGACAUUUGGAUACUUUUCAAUUGCAUUUCAAACAUUUUUACAUUUUCAAACUAUAUUUAUCUUUGCAGUUGAAAUUCAAACAUAACCUUUGAUCACAACGGAUUCUUAUAUAGUAUAACGAUAAGAAUUUUUAUUGCACAUUAUUUUUAUUGACUCACUAUGUAACUUAUCAUUUUUCUAUUAAAAUCACACGAUAAAAUCAUCAUACUCCAGUUCCAAUACUACAAAAUAUUAAACAAUAAUUAUUAAUUAUCUUGAAUCACAAGCACCAAAUUCCCACACGUCGCGCGGGCUGUCCCUCCCUAGUCAUAUUACAAUAACGUGCUACAGUAAUUCAAAUGGACUCUUAUUACGUUUUUUCUUUUUUUUUUUUACUGAUUUUGACCAUCAAAUUGAAUUGUUAGGCUGCUUUCAGUAUCGAGGGAUAUGAGUUGAGCGAAUGAUUUUCCUAAAAGAACCAUUAAAUUUUCUAAGUUUAUACGGAUUUUUCUAAGCCCUCCAACUUGAAUAAGGUCUGUAUGAUUACUAUGAUCUAUUGUAUGGUGAGGUUAAUAAUUGAGAUUGCACCUAUUUAUAUUUCGAAUUAUUCUUCGUAGAUGUAAUCAAGAGAGCAUAUGCCCCACGAUUAUUUAGUCUACAAAUUUAAAAUUCGUUCAAUGGCCAAGUUGAGCACGAUUAAGUUCAAGCGUGCGUCAAAUUUUUUUUUCUUUUAAUAACUUUGAAUACUAAGUCCUGUUUAAUAAUUCAAUUCAGUACUUAAAUUUAAUUGAUUCAGAUCUUAAUAUAUUCAUAUUAUUUGAUAACAAAAAAUUGAACAUCUAAAUUAAUUGAGUGGUACUAAAUUUUCUAGACAAGAUCUAAUCAAAAAAUUAAGUGAUAAACUAUUCACUUAUCACUGAAUAUGAUAUGUAUUUGAAUAUAUUAGAUUUAUGAUGCGUUUGAUAAAACUAAAAUCUGAAAAAUGAAAUCUAAAGUCCGAAAUCGGAAGUUUAAAUCUAUUAAAUUAUUGAAUUGUUAAGUGACAAGUGAAUAACCCAUCACUUAGACCCUAUUUGGCAAAUGAGUUUUUUAAAUAUUUGUUUAAAACUUUAAUGUAACAUACUGCAAAAAAUGGUAGAAAUUUUUUUUUGAAAUGUAUAAAUUUUUUGAUAUUUUUAAAUAUAUAAUUUAAAAUUUUGAAAAUUUUUUUGAGCUUACUGUAGUCAAAGUUGUUAAAAAACUUAUAAUAUACAAAAUUGACCAAAAACUUGUUUGUCAAACAGACUCUUAAUUUUGGGAGUAAGUUUUACCUAGAAAAUUGAGUGUCAUUUAAUUAAUUCAUAUGUUCAAUUUUUUGUUAUCAAACGGUCUGAAUAUGUUAAGAUUUGAUUCUAUUAAGUUUAAAUGCUGAAUUAUGGUAUCAGAUAAGGCCUUAAUACUUAAUAAUUCAAUAAUUUAACGAAUUCAUGAUUCAAUUUUAUCAAAUGCAUUUUAAGUUUUAAUUUGGCUUCAUUGUUAUAUUAAGUCCAACAGAAAAUGAGUUUUUUGUCCAUAAAACCUUGCGUCUCAAAGUAAUUUGUUAAAUUUUCCAUGGCGUUAUCCAGUGCAAUGUUUUAUUGGGCCAAAUUGAGUCCAACAUUUGAAGGAAAAAAACAGACGGGCACGCGCUAAUUUUGUUUUAAUGUUAGAUUUGUCUUGAACUAGGUAAACCCAAAUGAGCCCUUUCUUUGAGAAAGUAUUAGAAGUUCAAUUGAACUUUUAACACUUUGUUAUCCAUUAUGUGCGGACAAGUUUAAAAGAAAACCAAUAAAAAAAAGAUGUAACAUACAUUUGGAAUGGGAUAAAAAGUGAUGUUAUUUGCACUUUUAUUAGGUUAUUUGUACUCCCAUUAUCUCAUUUUUAUUUCGAUGAGACCAUAUUAGCGUUCAUCUAAUUUCUUUUUCUUACCUACGAGUUAACUUUAUCAUCUAAUUAGGGUAGGAGAAAAAAUUAUAAUAUGAGCAACAUGAUCUCAUCAAAAUAGAAAUGGAGGUAGUGUGAGAGUAAAUAACAUAAUCCUAACUCGUUUAUCCAAAACUUUUUGUUUCCUACUAUUUUUUAUCCAAAUUUUUUGUUUCCUUUUUUUAUCUUAACUUGUUUAUCCAAAACUUUUUGUUUCCUACUAUUUUUUAUCCAAAAUCUUUGUUUCCUUUUUUAUCUCGGAUGAUGUUAUUUACACUUCUAUUAUAUGUUAUGUUAUUUUAUAUGAUUUUAUCAUAUAACCCCACGAAUACGCUUUAUGCCGAACUCUGAGUUUUAGAAGUUUGAGAUAUUGAAACCUCCGAUGGCUCCUAACUAAGGUGUUAUAGCACUUAAUGGAAGUGUUUAAAGGUUCUCAGUAUUUCUUCUUGUUUGAUUGUCUCUCACACAAUUUUAGAUUGAUUUUAAAUGAUCAGUUUUUUUUUUUUUAAAUUUGCUUAUUUGGAUUUCCAUAUAAUAAGGUUAAGGCAUCAGAAUUUAGAGGUUUAGAUUCUAAUCCCUAUUCUCCUUCCAUUUUUUAAAUCACACCCUUUCCUUGCUAAAAUAAAUAAAUAAAUAAAAUGAACUUUUUACAUAUAAAUUUUAGAUUAUUUAAUAAACAAAAAAAGAUACAGUGGGCGGUUGUUUGGGCCUUGUUGACAUUAUAUAUUUAUAUUGAAAACUGGUGGACGAAAAACAACUGGGGUGGUGGCGCAGUUGGCUAGCGCGUAGGUCUCAUAGCUUCUGAGUAAUCCUGAGGUCGAGAGUUCGAGCCUCUCUCACCCCAACAAUUUUUGGCAAUCGAAAAGUCCUAGCAUCUGCUAUCGUUUCCGGAAAAAAAAAAAAAGAAAAGUCCUAGCGCCUCUAUAACUUCAGUACAGAUACAGCGAAAAUCGUUGACUGUCGUCGUACUCUCUAAUUCCCCGCAUCGGGCCGCUACAUAUUUUCGUGCUGUAUACCUUUCUCCAGAAACCCUAAUCAGAAAAACCAUCGCCACCUCCAUAUCGUAAAACCCUUGCGGUAUUUCCAAUCGUUUUAACAAUCAAUCAUGGUGAAGAAGAGCAAGAGUAUGAUAUCCAAUUAUAAUCCCUCUUUCUUUUUGGAAUGUCUGGUAAUCUGUAGUGUAAUAGCUUGGUAGAAUUCUGAUUUUUGGUGGCGUCUGUUUAUGAUUUGCAGAGAGCAAGAGUAAGAGGGUUUCGUUGAAGAAGAAGUACAAGAUCAUAAGGAAGGUGAAGGAGCACCAUAAGAAGAAGGCCAAAGAGGCGAAGAAGCUCGGACUCCAUAAGAAAUCCAAGAAGGAGAAGGAUCCUGGUAUCCCCAAUGACUGGCCUUUCAAGGAACAAGAACUGAAGGCCCUUGAGGCCCGCCGCGCUCGUGCCCUUGAAGAAAUCGAGCAGAAGAAAGCUGCUCGGAAAGAGAGGGUAUUGAAAAAUAUCAUACUACUAUUGUCUUUUUACCAUUGUUUUUUUUUGGGGUGCUAAUUUGGAUCCAAUAUAGAGAACUAUGUGGGGGAUGUGGAGGCUUAUCAUUCUUAAAAAAGAGGUCUUUUGCUAGGAUAUAUAGUCCUUUUUUAUUAGGUUUCUCUUGGGUUUUAUAGGGGUAGCGUUGAAAUGAGGGACUUUCUAACAUUUUUCACUUCGCGUGCUAUGUCAGAGUUUGAUUGAUAAUGUGGUGUUGCUUCUUUACAUGAGAUUGCCUUGAAAACUUCGAAGAAGUACCUAGUUUGACAUUUCAGUCUUAAGAGUAGAAUGUGGGAAUGACUUCAUUUGAAGUGCAAUAAUUCCACUAAAACAUUGCUUGAUGUUGCUUGUUCAGGCACAGAAGAGAAAGUUGGGACUACUAGAGGAUGAUGAAGACAAUGUAGCAAGUAAAAGGCAGAAUUUUGGUGAGGAUUUCAAUGAUGUGUCAACUUCACUGGGUAAAAACCGGGGUAAGUUAGAAGCUUAUCAUGCUUAUAUUAGCGUGGGGGUGUGAGUUUUUGCUUUCCUUCUGCCUGAUACAUCUUAAUUCGCCUUGUUUUGCUGCAGAUAACUCAGAUAGGGCUUUUUACAAGGAGUUGGUCAAAGUCAUUGAAGCCUCCGAUGUCAUUUUAGAAGUGCUUGAUGCUCGAGAUCCCCUUGGUUCUCGUUGCGUGGAUAUGGAAAAGAUGGUCAUGAGAUCUGGACCUGAGAAAAAUCUUGUUUUGUUGCUAAAUAAAAUAGGUCUCCUUCUUUUGCCUGCUUUGAAAUUACUAUAACCAAUAGUCGGAAUGAUUUCCUGGCAACAUUUAUGCAUUCUGAGUAGCCAGUGAUGUCUAUAGAAUUUUGUGGUCUUUUAAUGGCAUUGCAAUGGCCUUCAAAUUUUAGCAUCAACCUUAAUUGAAAAUGGCCAUAAUGGCUUGAAUGAUGUUACACCAUUUUAAUUGCAAUCCUGCUGAAAUACUUUCUCUGCUUAACCUUUCUUGUCAGAUCUUGUCCCUCGGGAAGCUGUUGAAAAAUGGCUCAAAUAUCUUAGGGAGGAGUUGCCCACAGUUGCUUUCAAGUGCAGCACCCAAGAACAGAAGGCAAAUCUUGGGUGGAAAUCUUCCUUAAAAGCACGAAAGACGAGUAGUUCAAUGCAGACUAGUGAUUGUCUUGGAGCAGAAACUCUUAUCAAACUGCUGAAAAACUACUCAAGAAGCCAUGAGGUAUUAUUAGACAUCUGAACGAAAUGCUAUUAGAACUCUUUGGAUGUUGACUAAGUGAAAUCGUUAAAGCGCUAAAACUUCCUUCAUCCCUACCUUUCUUUGCAUUAGCCACUGUAGGAUGUAAAUUUAAUUUUGCCACCCCUUCCCAUGGGAGUUCUGUUUGUUGUUUUCUGGAUGAUAUCUGCUUCAACUGUCCUCUUAAAGCAAGUUUUGGCUGCAGAUCAAAAAAUCCAUCACAGUUGGGGUUAUUGGCCUACCUAAUGUUGGUAAAAGCAGUUUGAUUAACAGCUUGAAGAGGUCUCAUGUUGUCAAUGUUGGUGCUACUCCUGGAUUAACACGAUCUAUGCAAGAGGUACAGUUGGACAAGAAUGUGAAAUUAUUGGAUUGCCCUGGGGUUGUGAUGCUUAAAUCUGCUGGCAGUGAUGAUGCAUCAAUUGCUCUUCGAAAUUGCAAGAGAAUUGAGAAGUUGGACGACCCAGUUCUUCCUGGUAAUUGAAAUUUAUUUUGUCUGAAGCAGUAAAUUACAUCUUUGCCAUUUUGUAGUUAGUUAAUGAAUCUCUGACUAAAUACCUAUUUUUGGAUGAUGCAGUUAAAGAAAUUCUCACACUGUGUCCUGCCAGAAUGUUGGUAAUGCUGUACAAGGUUCCUAGCUUUGAUUCAGUUGAUGACUUUCUCCAGAAGGUCGCUACUGUCAGGGGUAAGCUGAAAAAGGGCGGCAUUGUGGAUAUUGAUGCUACUGCAAGAAUUGUUCUUCAUGACUGGAAUGAGGGUAUGUGUUAUCAGCACUUAUCUCCUCUCUUGCAGCAUAUUUAAAUAAUUGACUUUUACCAUACAUCUUUUCUUGUCUUGAAAUUAGUCAAAUGCGCGUUUGGGUAGUAUAUUUUGGUAUCAUAUUUGACAUUUCACUAUGUUUUCCCAGGUAAAAUUCCCUAUUACACGAUGCCUCCAACUAGAAAUGAUGGAGAGCCUUCAGAGGCAAAAAUUGUAUCAGAAUUUGGAAAGGAAUUCAAUGUGGAUGAAGUUUAUGGCAACGAGUCCUCAUUUAUUGGUAGCCUAAAAUCUGUCAGUGAUUUUAACCCUGUUGAAGUUCCUUCAAACUCUCCUGUCAAUUUUGAUGAAAAGAUGCUUGAGGUAUGUCGGUCUGAACAAUCAUUUUCAACUCAUGAGCAUGCAUUGUGACUUUUAAGUCGUCUCAUUUCCUUGAAGUUCAAAGGCAAUAGCUUUUUGUUAUAGUUCAGAGGAGAUUGAUUAUUUACGUGGAAGACUUUAUGCAUGUAAGCAAGUAACUUGAGAUUUGAACUCUUCAUCUCUUGGAGAAAGGCAAUCUACCUUUUAAUGUGAUGGGGAUGGAACUGAUGGCCUUUUCCCAUUGGCACUUUGUCUCAGUCUUAGCAAAAGAGUUAAAAGUCUGCUGUUAGAUGCUUUUUUGGAGUAAUGGUGCAGCUAAUACGUAGAAUUAGUCUGUCUGCAAUGUCAUAGCUUGGUUUUGCAAAUUUAAACUACUGUAAAUCAGAUAACAGCUAUUUGAAUACAAAAUUAUCCACACGGUGGGUGGGAAGGGUGGGGGCAUAUUUUGGAUACAAAUUGCAAUUCUACAUUGCCUUGUAGUUCAUUGUGAUACUUCUGAACAUCGUGUUUAUAUGCAUUUAGCCUUCAUAUGUGUUAUAUUUGACAUUGCAGGAUGAUGCUUAUCCAGCGUCAUUGCCCCAAAGUGAAAAUCUGGAAGACAAUGUAGGGGAUGAUGGAGAUGAGUCCAUGAGAUCAGAAGAUGAAGCAGGGUCUGUGAAGGCUAAAACUGCCAGCAGCAGGCAGAAUGAGAGGCUAUAUGCCGAGGAAGGUAUUCUUAACACUAAGUUGAAAAAGGCAGAGAAGAAGAGGAGGAAAAAGGACAAUAAAUCAACUGCUAUGGAAGAUGAUUAUGACUUCAAGGUAGAUUAUGUCAGCAAGGGAUCUGCCAUGGAAAUUGGCGAGGGAGUUGGACUGGAGGAUGAUAGCUCAAAAAACAGAUUUGAGCUGCCAUCUGGAGUUGAUUUAGAAAAUGAAUGAGGAAUUUUGUUUUAUAAUUUUGAGCCGUUUUCUCCCUUUUAUAAGCAAGCUUCUCCGUACGAGUUGAGCAAUGAUUUUGAUGUUUUAUGAGAAAGCAGGAGAUAGAAAAUAUUUUGUCUCGGUAAAGCUAAUUAUUGUCCUGGAGGAAAAUAAACUUUGGUGAGCCAAGACGUUUUUCCUGUCGCACAUUUUUUUGUGUGGGCAAAACUAAUGUUGUUGUUACUGCAGUUUUUUUUUUUUUUAAAAAAAACAGAAAAAACCCAGAAGUUAAAUCAAGAAAGGAGGAAAAGAACGGUUAAUGGCGGCAUAGCAUUAUCUUACCUUUGCUGUUAACCGUUCACCAAUUGACCGACGAUGUUACAGACGGCUGGUCAGGAUCAGGAAAAGUAUACAGCACAUGCUGUUUCUUCUUCUCGGUGCUGCUACGAUUUGGAGCGCCAGAUGAAAAUAUCACCUGAUCAUCUUUAGGUACUCACCAAAAUCAGAUUAGAAGUAGUUAUCGGUCAUAAUUUAGUAGCAGAAUUCGCGCCUUUGAGAUGUGACAACUAACAAGUUCUUCGAAUGUACGACGACUACAUAACGUUUGAGCCAACACAAGCGAAUCAUGCGUGUAAUUCAGUCGUUUCUUCAUGUUAUUUUUUAACCUUAGAAAGUGCCGAUCGAGGGAUUGAGUAGCCAACUGCAUAACCUUAGAAAGUACUGAUUGAGAUGGAGGGAAUUAUGUAUCUGUUUAAAGUAUUCCAUACUAAUAAUUAGAGCUGCAAACGAGUCGAGUCGAGUCGAGUUUUGAACUAAUCGAGCCGAAUCUCGAUUAAAUUUUACCGAGCUCGAGUUCGACGAGCCGGCAAUUUUCGAGCUCGAGCUCGACUCGAAUCAAGUCGAGCCGAGCUCGAGUUCGAAAAAAAUAAAAAAUAAAUAUUUUAUUAAAAAAAAAUAAAAUAAUAUUUUUUUCUAAAUAAAUAAUAAAAUAUUAAGGAUAUAUACGUAAUUUUACUAUGAAAAAAUAUAUAUAUAUAAUAUACGUAAUUUUAUUAUUAAAUAAAAAUAAAAAUAAAAAAAUAUAUAUAUACUCAAGCUCGCGAGUCGGCUCGCGAGCUAAUACUCGCGAGCUAAUGAAUUUAAUAGUCUUAGCUCGAGUUCGAGUUUGACUCAAACCGGCUCGAACUCGACUCGAGCUUGACUCGAGCCGCUUGCGAGCGGCGCGAGCUGCUCGAUUCGUUUGCAGCCCUACUAAUAACUAACAAGUGAAGUCGAAUUAUUUGGGUACAAAAGAUAAACCAGUUUCUAAGAGUAGAACAUCAUCACAUCAUUCAUGACAGAGAAGAACUAGUUGUUUGAUCAUCAUCGUAUCAUGACGAGUGGUUUAACAAGGAUUUUUGUGCAAAGGUCAACAAUUAUUUGAGAUAAUUUUGUGAAAAAUACUAUAGCAUUUCUUUGAUGUGAUGUAUGUGAAAUAAAAAGAUGAUUGAAAAAUAUGUUGAUGAUGCAAACAAAUCAAUGUGUGUAAAUGAGGUGUAAAUAAUGUGCAUUCCAAACACACUUGUCUUCUAAAUUUUAGGCAUGAUUAAAUGUCUAUUAUAUGCACACCGAUUUAUUCAAUACUUAAAAAAGAAAUUCAAAAAGUUAUCUACAACUCGUGUUUAUAUGUAAUAAUUAUCAGGUAAUCUAAUGGUGUAAAAUUACAUAAAUGCUUAAAGUUAUGCAUAAAAGUGCAUAGCAAUUAAACUCAUUCUCAGGGGCUUGGGGGGUCUUUAUCUUCUAGCAGCAGGACACCAUGUGGGGUUUCUAUCCCACAUCGGUAAAAUUGGGGGUUGGGGUUAGAUUUAUAAGUCCCUCACAGGACUCCCAAAGUUAUCGACUUUUGGAGUUACUGUGGGGAGUUAGGUUUAUUUGUUGAAACUCUUACUUUCAGUAAGAAAAUGUUAGAAAGAAAAAAAAUUAAACUUAUACACAAGAGUACUAGAGGGGGGAGGGGGAGUGGGUAUAUUGUAGUAUAUCUAAUAGGUGGAUGAUAAUGGGUAAAUUUCAAACUAUCAAAUGAAUGUUUGAUUUUUCUUGUAAUUCAUAUGGUUUAACACCUAAGGAAGGUUUAGUGUUUAGCAAAUUAAAAUUGUUAGAAAGAUGAUGAGAAGAGCAUUGUCUAGUUUCUUUAUUUUAAUGUUUCAUUGUAAACAUGGUGGGUGGGGACAAAUUAAAAAAUUUAGCACACUUGUGGGGUUAGAGAAUACUAUCAAAAUUUAAGAAGGGCAAAAGUGGGGCAAUGAUAAAAAUUUAAAUAUUUUUAUAGGGUAUUAGGAUGUAGUUUCAAAAAAAGAAAAGGGGGCCAUUGCAUGCACCCCCAAGUUGGCUGUGGCUCCGCCCACGACAACUAUACAUAACUGUGGCCUUGGUCGAUGCUCGAUUAGGUUAAGACGUUGAACUAGAUGACCACGCGUCCAAGAAACGGAUUAUUGUCAAAUCUCCGUUAGCAUUGGCCGUUGCCAAAUGACGCGGUUUGAAGCAAAACCGGCUCUUCCCAUUUCGGCCCACGGGAUAUAAAAGAGAGACUAUCCAUCCUACUUCAAAUUCUUCGCAUUAAUGCCAUUCGCAUUAUUUUGAACUUGGCAUUGGCAUCUCGGGUGAUUAAUGCCAUUCCCAUUACCAGCCAGCUUAGUUGAGUUAAUGCCAAUUUUUUUUUUUUUUUUGAUAACGAAAUUAAUGCCAAAAUUUUAAAACCUUAAAACUUACACCUUGUGGGCCAGUGACAGUGGCAUUUGCGUUAUUCCCGAUGAUGUACGAGGGUUUGUUAAACAACCUACCAUCCCACGGCACCCACCGAAGGAGUCUCUCCAGUCGCCUAUAUUUCUAUAAAAUCUUUAAAGAAGAAAUUAAAAGGAAAAAAAAAUAUAUAAAACCAAGAAAGACGAAAUUUCUUCUUUAUGGUCGAACGGUACAAAAAUCAAACUCGAUCCAAUCCUCUCCCCGCAUCGUCACGCUUCCUCUAUUUCUUUUUCUCUCGCGAUUUAUCCUCUUUUCAUUUGUUUGCCCCUCUUUCUUUCUUCACUCACUUUCUCUCUCUAGAUUCCGAAGAGGCCUGCUAGGGUUUUUGUGAGGGAGUUACCAGAGAGAGAGAAGAGUGAAAAUGGGGCAGCAGUCGUUGAUCUACAGCUUCGUCGCCCGAGGAACGGUGAUCUUAGCCGAGUACACUGAGUUCACUGGAAAUUUCACCAGCAUAGCAUCGCAGUGCCUUCAGAAACUUCCGGCCACGAACAACAAGUUCACCUAUAACUGCGAUGGUCACACUUUUAACUACCUCGUCGAAGACGGCUUCAGUAAGUUUUCAUCCUUCUUCGUCCUUUCCCGAUCCAUUUGCCGCUUCGAUUUGUUACGAUGUUAUUUGCUUGAUCCGCUAGUUAAUCGGUGCUUUGUCUUUCUUACUACUACUACAGAGUCAAAGGCUCGUGGUUUUGCUCUUCUUUUCUUUUCAUUUCUUUCUCUCUCUUUCUUCUUCUUCUCUCUCUCUCUCUUUUAAAUUUUGGUGAAUCAGCUACUUUACUAUUUUUAUUCGUUUUAUUUAUGUGAUGAUUUCGCUCUUUUGAUUCAGAUCUUAGUUGAUAACAAUUGGACUUUUUAUUUUCACUGAGCGUCUUCUGCGACUUUUCAGACUCUUGGUUUUGCAGUUCUGAAAUAAUUAUUGACAUUGAAAUGAAUGUUAUGAGAUUGAGUUCUAAAAUUCUUACAUUUACUGGUGAUUUUACUCUUCGCGGGCUGUGGCUCCGUUAGAUUUUCUCCUUUUUUUUUUGGUUAGACGUAUAUUCAGUUGCAGAUUAGAAGAUGACUUCUUAUUGGUGUUCGCAUGGAUCCUACGAUAAGGAUUUGGAUCUUCUCUUAUUAUGUUGCGUUCAGAUCUUUUUUGCUUCCUAUCAGUACCUUCUUAUUCUCUGAUUGAAGUUUGAUCGCUAUUUGUUAAUGAAAUUUUAUUAUAUGAUAUCACAGUAAUUAAUAAGUUGGUAAUUUUUUAGCUCUGUGACAUUCUGUGGCUUAAGGUGCUGAGAAUUAUGGGGCCUAGGAUCAAAUGGGAAUUUUGUUCGCGUGCAUUGGUUCCAUUAUAUUUUCAAGGCAGCAUGACUUUGUAUACAAAUUUAAAGUUUCACUUGUACAGAUUUAUUGCUAUUAAAGGAGUUUGUGUUUUUCCAUUCCACAUACUUUUUUUAGUUACUUCUUUUUCGCAAUUAUGAAUGCUUAAUUUUGAAAUUUCUAUAGUCUAUGAGUUUAAUGAUGAAAAACCCUUUCUAGAAUAAUGUACUUUUGAUUUUAAGCAACCUAUGUAUAUUUUUUUAUAGUAAACAUGAAUUAGUCUAACGUCUUGAUCUUUGAUUUGUUUGACUUGACUUGUCAUGAGCUUUGAUUCCUUUGAAUUGACUUUGUACUUGGACAUUAUCCUUAUCCAUUGCUUACACCCUCCUCCUUCCCUGCUGCCCCUACUAUUAAAAUUAAGUGCAACUAUUUUUCUUUUCAUGCUGCCUGUCUGCUCUAGAUUGAAUCUAUCUUGAUAAAGCAUAUUUGCCUUUUUUGUUUGAUAAUCGAGACUGUCAGUGACUGUUACUUACUGCUUGUAAAGCAAAUGGGAAUUACUUUGAUGUUCUGUAUCUUAGAAAUGGUAAAACGUGUAUGGAAAACAAGUUGUAUGCCUUUCUUGAUUUUGAUUUAACACAUAACAAUGACUUUUCUUUAGUUGCCUGUGUUCUCCUAUUUAAUUCUUAGGUUUUUAGGGUGGUUUUCCUGCUUUUGUGAUGCUUGGUUGUACAAUGACUUAUACGACAAUGUGGUUCUAGACAUAGUUCAAGCUUGUUGUUUGAGAAUCUGUUGGGUCAAUAGAAGUAUGAUUGAUAAAAAUUAGAGUAUUCUCACUCUUCCUAUAAUUUCUUAUCCGUAUAUGACUGUUGCUGAAAUGAGUUAUUUGAGAAUAUUCUCUACUCACGUGGAGCCGCCUUAGUGUUUUCAGGGAAAGAAGGGAAUUGAAUGUUUUCUGUUAUAGACGAGCAUUUCCAGACUCCUCUAGUCCAUUUCUAUGUGGUUGUGGAUAUGUAUCAUUGUUGGUUUGAGUGUUGUUUAGCUAACAAACCAAAUACUUCUGUUUGGCAGCAUAUUGUGUUGUUGCUGUGGAAUCUGUUGGGAGACAGCUUCCAAUAGCUUUUCUGGAGCGGAUAAAGGAGGAUUUUACCAAGAAAUAUGGCGGUGGGAAAGCUGCUACUGCUGUUGCUAAUAGUCUUAACAGAGAAUUUGGGUACUUCAUUCUACUCUUCUUCAUGAGCUUUUCCUUUUCCCUUUUUUUUUUGGAUAAUAUUUUUGCAUAUGAUAAUACUACUUUGUUGAAAUGACGCAUGAUGAUGUAUCUAUAGGCCCAAACUGAAGGAACAGAUGCAAUACUGUGUGGAUCAUCCAGAGGAGAUCAGCAAGCUUUCAAAAGUAAAGGCUCAGGUUUCAGAAGUCAAAGGGGUGAUGAUGGAAAACAUUGAGAAGGUUAGUGUAGUUGGCACCUUAACUACUUGUGCACUGCCUGUGAAUUGAGAGAUUCUGAAGAUUGGAAAAGGGGUCUAUGGAUUGGAUAUGAUGAAUCUGGUCUUGCAGGUUCUUGAUCGUGGAGAGAAGAUUGAGCUUCUGGUUGAUAAAACUGAGAAUCUUCGAUCUCAGGUUUGUGACUGUAAUAGCUUGCUAUUUCUGGUUAUACACUGGAUCACGUUUUUUCAUGAAGUUUCCCUCUUAAACAUCAUCUCCUGUCAAGUUCUUUAUUUUUGACUUUAUCUCUGGCUCCCUUUGGCACUUAUUUUCAGUUUCAGACUGUUUGGUACGUAAGGGUAAUGAGUUUGCCUUGGUCCAAUGUGCAGGCACAAGAUUUCAGGACACAGGGAACCAAGAUGAGGAGGAAAAUGUGGUUACAGAAUAUGAAGAUAAAGCUUAUUGUCCUGGGCAUUAUCAUUGCUUUGAUUCUUAUUAUUGUGUUGUCCGUGUGUGGUGGCGUCAAAUGUCAUUGAUUUGGUUGUGCUAUGGUUUUUGUUAGGCUGGUGAUUGACGGAGAACUUGUGCUGCUUUCUUGAUAUCAUAACAUAGCGUUAUGUUUACGUAUAAAUUUUUGGUGGCCCUUGCCUACCCAUUUGAUAGGGAUGGUACUCUGAGACAAUGCUUGUAUAGUCUGUAUUUCUGAAUUCGUUGAAUAUAUUAGAAGAGUCCGGAAUGUUUUCAGGAAAAAUAUGAUGAUGGUUCAUGCGCCUGUAUUUUUGAAUUUAUUGCGUGCUCAUGGUAUCAACUAAAUAAUUACAAUGCUUGCGUUAAAUUAUGAUACAUUAUCAACUUUGCUUUUUUUUUAAUGGAUAAUGGUUCCAUUGCUAAUUCCGCAGGCCUAGUUGACUGUUUAUUUUUUAUCUAACAAGAUUGUAUGUGUCAAGGGGAGCAUUUGUACCCGGGUUUGCAUAACUGAUGCUCUUAAAUUAGGUUGCUUCCUCAAUUUAUUUAGAUUUACGAAAAUGAAUCUUAAGGCGAAAACAGAAAAAUACCCUCUCUGAAACUCUUGGCACGCUUAGAACUCAAAAAGUCCAAAACCCGGCCCCCUUUCCUCGAAGUUUAGUGAUGCUCGCUGUUCUAUUCUUUCACUCUCGUUAGAUUUUUGUGGGGGGUAUUUCAUCCUCCUAGUUGUUGUUGCAUCUAGUGCAGAGUCCCGUCCCAUUGUUUACCAAUGCUCUUCCAUUUAAAAUACAGGAUUCCGUAAAUAUGAGCUUUUCCCAGCUUGUAAACGGUACACAUGAAACUUCCGCUAGUACGCUGAUGCAUGGUCGAUGGACUUUUGUUAAUGGUUCGACCCAGUCGCUGAUACGGUUCAUGUGAGUAGAACUAUAAGAUAUUCUCAAUAGGAGGCCCAAGAUGGCACUGUAGGUGUACUAGCUUUACGAGUCCACACACCACUUCAGAAUAGAAUUCAUUCUCAUUCUUUUUGAAGUAAUAAUAAUUAUUAUCGACAAAGAUCAGAAACAGAUAGAAUUCAUUCUCUUUCUCGUUGGCAGUCAACACAGCCAAAAUUCUGAUAAGUUGAUUGCAUAAAUUUCUGGUGAUUUUUCUCUCCGCUUAAAUAACGGCACCAUGGAUGGAGUUAAUAUAUUCUAAACUUGGCAUCCUAUUGCACAAGCAGGCUUCUGGGUACAUCUCUGUGAAGUGAACAGUUCGUUGUUAUGGACUGAUUUCCAUGUUGUCGAUCAGCCUGACCUUUCCAAACCAUGCUGCAACGCAAAAGACAGCUGGCCCCUUAAUCUCUUCCACUGCUUCCAGACUCUCUUGGUCUACAACCUGUUUCCAAAAUGGAGGAGGAACAUGUCAACCGUUCUAAAUUGAGGUACGGAAUAUGAACUUGUGAUAUUUUCAGCUGGCAGAAACCUCGGAUCUUUUUACUGAAUAGAAUUUAUAAAAGAGAGAAGAAAAAAAAAAAAACGAGAAGCACCUUUACGGAAGGAUUUAAAGAAUGCAGACAUCAAGUGAUUAUCACACAAUCAAUCAGAGGUUGGGUAGUCUAUCUUGAAAUACGGGGGAAACAUUGGGGUUAUUGAUAUAAUAAGCAUUUUUAUACUGCUCAUCAGCACUGCAACCGACAAAAACUCGAGCGAGCACUCAAAGGUUUCAGGUGUUCUUGUCUUGGUUACACGCUAACAUCGACAUUCACACUUUAUAAUAAGCAUUUUUUAUAUGGCUCAGCAGCAGCGCCGAGUGCUCCGAAAAAACUCGAUUGAGCACUAAGGGGCAGCUCUGAAAAAUUGACAGCUAACACCUGAGUAAAGUAAUGGCAAUUGCAACGUCUAUCUAAUUAUUUAAUGUAGAUACAGACAGCUAUUGAACAGAAUUUUUCCUAGAAAAGCCACAUUGUAGCAUGACUUUCAUGCCAUAGUUAUGCUUAAACUACCCUCAUCUGCUGCCUGUGUAUCAAUCAAGCUUCAAAAAUCGCAACGAUUUAUAUUUUGUAGUGAUGUACGAUUAAUGCUACUUCAACAUGAAAGGUUGACCACAAAUGGCACAUAAGGAACGGCCACCGAGCUCGAAAGCCCAAUGCUUUGGUUCAGCUUUACCAGAUAGUAUUAAUUAAGAGUACUAACAGUUGAAUAUGCAAAUAGGAGAAAAAUUACGUAUGAUGCCUGCCUGACCUCUGCAUAAUCAAUUAAUCCACCGGCUCCUUGUACAGACCGGAUCACUGAAUUCAUUAAUUCUCUGCAAUUAACUUGUCCAUUUUCCGCUGCAGCUUUAGCUUCAGUCAGCGAGCGACUUAUGGACAGCGCCUGCAAAAUACCAUGAAGAGCAAAGAGCAUUGGCACCGGGACGUGCCAUGAUUUUGACAGAUUAAACUAAGCACAAAUAACAAGUGCAAGACACAAUAAGCUGCUUCAGUCAGGAAACAUUCCUAGUAAAAGAGCAGGUUCAAGAACACAGGCAACUGAAACAACCGCGAACACAGGCAGACAUGUAUCAAUAUAAUUAAUAUUAACAAAACCACAUCACUAUAAGCUCUAGAGGCAAAUGUAUGCACUUGAAAAGUACCUUGUCCCUUUCAGCAGGUGAAAGGCGCACAUUACGGGAGCUCAUUGCAAGGCCAUCAGGUUCUCGCACUAAGUCAGAGCCAAUCACUUUUAUCCCAAAAUCGAGAUCUCGAACCUGAUCGAGUUCCCCCAACAAAAAAAAAAAAAAAAAAAAAAAAAGUAAAAAUGUUUUUUUUUUUUUUUUCCAAUUCUCUGGUAGGUAAAGCUUUCAUUUUUAAUGUCAGGCAAAAGUUGGAGUAGAAAAAGUAGACAUAAAUGACAGAUCCUGCAAUACUAUCUCCGUACUAAUAUCAGAAUGAAGAAAAAGAAAUUUGCAAUACUCCAGAAAGGCUAACCAUUCUUUGUAUAAUCCGCCACUGCUGAUAAUCUUUCUUCCCAAAAAAAGCAACAUCAGGCUCAACAAUAUUAAACAACUUGGUAACAAUUGUAGCAACCCCUCUAAAGCAAACAGGCCUGCUCUUCCCACACAGUGGCUUUUCCAAUUUUUCGACUCUAACCCAGGUUUCAUGCCCCAUUCCCCCAUCCUCCACGCAAGACACAACCUCUCUCCCUUCCCUUUCUCCCCCGUGUUGAUCUCCGCUAUCAUUCCAACAACUCCUAUCAUUGCUAUUAUCCCCAUAAUCAUAUAAAUUGUGCGGGUGGAAAACAACAUCGACCCCACCAGGAAUGGACUUGAGCUUGUCAAUAUCACCAAGAAAAUCAGAAGGGUAUGUUGAAAGGUCUUCAGUUGGGGAGAAUUGACCUGGGUUCACAUAUAUUGAAACGACAACUGACUGGGAGUGCUUGUGAGCAUCUCUAAUGAGGGAUAAAUGACCUUCAUGAAGGUAACCCAUGGUGGGGACUAACCCAAUUGUCUUGCCUUGGGCUCUCAUGCUUCUUGACCACUGUCUCAUCUUAUCCUUGUCCGAGAUGAUUAAGGGAUUUUUAGUGGCCAUUUGCAUGGAAAUCUGAACUUAAAAAGGAAUCCUUGUACUUUUUGCUCUGUCAAGAUCAAAAUUUUCUGUAGUUUUUCGAACUUGUGUGUGAAAUUUGUAACAGAUGAUGAAGGCAGGAGGAAAUAUGACUACUACUACUACUACUGCAGAGGAAGGAAAAUGGAUGAGCUUGUGGUGUGGAAUCUGGAUGCAGGCCCGUCAAGGGCAACAGCAGCGAGAGAAAUGACAAAAUAUGAAGGAGGCGGCGGCGGUGUUCCUUUCUGUUACUAUACUAGUUUAUAUAGAUAGAUAUAAUGGUCGUCUCUCGUCUGGCGAUAUGUUUUGUGGGAACCGGUAUCUAAUUAGUAAUGCAAAAGUACCAACUAAAUUGGUUCGCAGACCACAGAUUCGCCGCCAUGGAUCUUGGCUGAAAAGAAAAUUGUCAAUAAUAAUCCGUAUCUUUGAACUCGUUGCUAAGUACGUUACGUGAUAGUUUAAAUAUGUCCAACAAGGCCCAAAUCUACAUGAAUGCUAAACUAGAUUAUGUGAUAGUAGGUUUGUUUGGAUCGUGGUUUAUUUGUAUUUGUCGAUAUCAUCAUUACAAUUUUCAACACACCUUUUUAUCUUUUCAAUUAUUUUUUUAUCUCACAUACAUCAUAUCACAAAAAGUGCUACAGUAAAAAUAUCUCUAAUAAUUCACAAACCAAGCCGUAAAUAUGUCCAACAAGAGCAAAAUCUACAUGCAAAAAAAAAAAAAAAACAACACCGAUCCAUGGACAUUGAGAGCAAAAGGUCAAAAAACUUAUUCCUCUCUAAUGGAAUUUUUUUAUUCUCUACCGUGCACAUUUAAAUAAAUAUCCCUUUAUCUUUCUAAUAAAUAAAGAGACAUACUGUUGCAUCUAGACGUGAAUUAUGAAAAAUAGAGAAAGAUUCUGCUGAACAAGAUUAUUAUUAUUAUUAUUUUUUUAAGAAUGAAGAAUAUUCAGAUCCUGCCAAAUUCCAAGGUCAAUAGGUACAAGUUCGUUUUCAAAGAGAAACAUUCCAAUGUGAACCUCCAAACUAAAAUUUUUAUUUUUAAGAUUGUGGGUAGUAAAUCUUUUCUUGUGAUGUGACUAGAGAUAACAAAUUCUGCAAAGUAUCAAUGGUGAUGUUGAGAUACCUUGUUAUUGGACUGGUAUAUAACUACUGAAUCAUGUAGGGAUUCCCCAAGAGGAUAUACUAAUAUUGUUCCAAUAAGUGUAAUUAAGGAGCCAUUCGCCAACUUAAUUAUCUCGUAUGAUUUUCCUAGUGAAAGACAAAAGGAUUCAUACAAUGAUACAAAUAUAAUAGCACGUGAUGUAAAAUUUUUUGAGGAAAAUGGUUCAUUCUCCAAAUUCAUUCAAGUAAAUUAAAUCCAUGUACAUAUAUACUCCUUCACAAAUGAGGGCUCGGAGUGGGAUCAUGGGAGACCCAUUAUCUAGCAUCUUUCUUCUCUUCGAAACCAUGAUUUCUUCUCAUCCCAUCUGCUAUCCACACACCCUAACAAGUACUAACAAAUUCAUUAUCUCUAAUAAGAGAAACGAAAAACGGAAAAGAAAAAACUACUGAAGCAAACCACAGGAAAACAUAUCGAGAACAAAAGGCUGGUUUUCAAUCAGCAAGCCAUUUGAUCUCUAAAAGGUGUAAUCUCUUCAAAGAUUGGAAGCCUCCUGGAUCUAGGAGGAGCCCACACAUCCAGCAGCCGCUCGAGCUCAUCAACAAAGUCACGAUCAUCUUCUGAAUCCAGGCCUGGAAAUUGCGGUGGAGGCUGCCUUGUUUGGAGCUCCAAAAACAAUUCCUGAGCACGAGCUCCGGUCCUGGGGUCAUGGGAACCCGCAAGUUUUCCUUGCAAAACAUCAUCAAGAAUCAAACGUGCCUCGUCGUAUCGUGCCUGUUGAAUUAGGCAGUGACACAAGUUGCAAGCCUUGUUGGCAUCAGGCUCGAUCAUUUGUGCUUUCCGGUAGACUACCUCUGCAGAUAUAUAAUUCGAUUUCUGCAUGUACGCCCAAGCUAAAUUUCCCUGUCGUCGUCACCAUUACCACAGAUAUUAGAACUAGCAGCAGUCCUAUAUAAUUAAGGGCUCAAUGACUUGGACGUGGUGAGACAUUUUAUUUUUGGAUCUAUUCUAUAUAUAUAUAUAUAUAUAUAGUAUGUACGUACCAGUAUUCUUGAAGUUUCUUGCUUGACGGAAACUUGAAAUUUCUUCCCGUGAGAGCGUGCAGUCUUUGUGGGCUUUCCAUUGAAAGCCUGUCCGAGAUAAAUCAUCCGAAGCUUCUGCUUCAGCACCGAUAUUUGUUCGUCUACUCUUCCACAUUUCUACGUGAGGUUCAAACGCGUACCAAAUUAUUUGAAAGGUUUCAUUAACUGUACUGGUAAAUGAGGGAUUAAUUGUUUACGUAUUAAUAUGUGACAUAAGUAACAUAAAGUUGGAUAGUUCUUGCUCGCAUGAAGAAGCUAGUCAAUGUACGAAAGAUUAAUGUGAGCUAGGAGGCCUGAUGGUAAUUAAGGAGCCAUAAUGAAUUUGUACUGCCACCAUUAAAGAAACAAGGGGAUGUGCUAGACAACUAUUUACCUUGUAGAGGUCAAUGAGGACGUUGUCCAGUGAUCCCUGAGCUUGUUUAGAACAAAGUCCCCUAAGAGACUUGAUAGCUUCGAUGGCUUCUUCAGUUCUAUCCAGCUGCUUCAUCACCACUGCCAUGUCCUUAAGGGCGCUGUCUACUCGAUCUCCUGCAUUGAUAGCCUUCCAGAACAAAACAAUCGCAGAUUCCGGAUCCUUCUGAACUAGCUGAGGAAACAACAAAUUAAGUGUGAACGGAGAAAAUAAAUUUAGCAAACUUCUUGUGCUGUAUUAGUCACCAUAUAGCAAGUAUAUCAUGAAAAAAUACUGGUGGAAAAAAGACAAGGUGCGAAGUUUCCUGUUUUCGACCCAAAUUAAUGAUGGAGAGGUGCCCCCUAUAUAUCCUGCUAUCCAUGCUGCUGAUGUAAAAAGCCAGGCAGGUAACCGCUCCAACCAAAUACUAUACUAAAGCGCAUGAAUUCGUUUAUGAAAAGAGACAUUAAAGAGAAUUCUAUAUUAGUUAAGCUAUCAUUUCAUCUUGUUUAUUGCCAUCUCGAUUUAAAAUUAAUCGAGAUCUAUUAAGGGUGAAAUAUAAUUUCGAGCGCCAUGAUUUGAUAGUUUGGGUUAACCAUCGGAGGUUUCAAAUUUUUUCUUGAUACUGUAUUUCAUAUGGAUGACUUACCGACAUGGUUUAAAGUCGCGGACACGAUCAUGGUCCGGACCGUUCUACAUUAGCCUCGACAUAUUGAUCGUCGUGAGAUCCAAAUUUUUGAAACAUUUAAUAUUUUAAAAUUUAUAAAAAAAUAUAUGAUAAAUAAAAAUAAUAAAAAUUUGAUUUGACUUUAAAUGAAUCGUCCGGGACAAUUCGACCGUUUUAAUUCAUUUCAAAUACGUUACGAUCGAGUUCUCAGCGAUCCAUUAUCUUAGAAGCAUCUUUGAUUGAACCAUGCUCAACGACUAAAUCAGUAUCUUCUAGCGGAAAACCUUCACAACUUAGAUUACCUUGGAUCAUCCAGGUAAUACAAUAAUGUUAAAACAUAUAAAUAAAAAAAAAAAAAAACCCGACUUAACAUUGAGUUCAUAAUAUGAAAUAUUCUCCAUUUUUCUUUCGAAUAAUCUAUGGAAAAGUAUAAGUGAUAACUUAAAAAUCGUAUAGAAAGAAGAAAUAAACCUGAGCAUGCUUGGCACGAACAUAAGGACCAUCACCAAAAGGAACCUUGUGGAUGACGUGAAAGAGCGAUUCCUUGUCACCGUUAUUCAUCUCUUUGGUUGGAGAGCUCAUUUUCUUGUUCGAACUUUCUUCAGCCAUUUCUUUCUUCCGUCUUCUUUCCCCUUUCUUCCAAGAAGGGACAGUCUCUGCAGUCUCCGCUAGCUGGAUUACUUCAGCAGGAGAAAAAGGAUACAAACUAAGUAACUCUACCAGCCUAGCUUGCUACUUGCAGCCGUAUUAGAGCUGGAUCGCCAUUACCCUUUAGAAUGAAAGAGGAUGCAAUGGAUGGCAGAAUACACAGUCCAAACACAUAUAUAUAUAUACACACACACACACACACAGAGACAGAGAGAAAGAGAGACGUACUUGUGUAUACAGAUGCAAUUAAUUGAUUAUACAUGCGAAGGGAAGGCCCCGUGAACCUAGACACCAAAGCGUCCAAGUUCUCAACGAUGUAUCUUGUCGGAGAGAUGUUGAUUGGUGUCUCGUACUAAUCUCCAAUUCCCCAUCAUUGGUGCACAACAAACCUUUUAUUAUUAUUUAACUCUCCUCAUUCAUUUUUAACACUCGCUUGUUGAUCAGCUCGAGUAGAUUUUUUUUCACACCACAUUCAGUUACUGCUACUAUUUCUUUCAGAUUCUAGAUUUGAUUAAUGAUUAUCGUCCAAAAUAUUUACGAGCAAUUUCAAAAGCUCUUUACGAGUAGUAGUGGUAUUUCUUUCCAAUAAUUUGUACGGGUGAACCUGGACCCUUAAGAAGCCGAAAUACAGACUAAAGAAUUUGGAACCUGAAGUAAGGCUUGCUCAUUAUUGAUUAGUGCUACCGUAUCAAUUUUGCAUGCGUUGGAUUUCUUUAGUCAUUUUUACCUCCAAAAUGAAAAUGCCUUUUUUUUUUUUGCCAUCUCAUUUCCUGCAGCUAGCCUCUGUUUUGUUUGCUUUGUCCACGGUAAUAAUAGGCUUUUAACAAUUUAUGCAUCUGGACGUCUUCAUGGAAUCAAUUACUAAGAACGAAAUGACGGGAGUCAACAAAUACUUUCCCAAAGCAAAACAAUAAUGGAUAAUUAACCAACUCAAUUUUUUUUUUUUUUGGGAGUAUGAGUGGGUAAAGCAUUACUCUAUUCGCGGAGGAAUGCAGUUCCCACACUUUUACCUUGUUUCCUUGAAGCCAGAUUUUAUCCCCUCUAGCUGCAGGGUCUUGAUUCUUAUUGAUUUAUUUAUUCUUUUACUGAUGCUGGCCGUCGAGGAUGCAGGAUCUCCAGCGGUUAACGGUCUGAGAUUCACCAAAUCAAACGCGACCCGACUCAAUCUCGGCCAUCCAUUCUAAAAUCAAAGAAUUCUCUAUAAAAUCUCGUGACUCUGCUUCAAAUCUAGACAUCCAUUUAAAGGGGAGGUCGUUCUGGUUUUUGUCAUAGUGUUCGGUGCCAGCACAGAUUGGCUUCAAAUGAAGAUAGAUACUGGAUUGGGGAGCUGAGAACUAUGGCUUGAAAAUCCAUCAGCUUUAGGGCAAAUAAUCAAUGAGCAGGGGCAUGUUUACCAAAGAUAAUCGGCUUACACUGCCGAUUUGAUGCAAGGUGCAGGUUGAUUUUGGAAAACUUCAAUGCAAAUCGACUUGUUUUGAAUGUCUUGCACUCACAUGUAUAUUUCCAUUUGCAUAUGAGAACGAGCUAUUUGAUUAUUUGGGUGUUCUGUUAUAUUUGACUUUAUAUUUAUUAGGAUUUCUUUUUUCUGAUGCCCUCUACCUGGGGUUCCUGGAAUUUCAGUCUCGUGUCAUUCCACAGCUCAUUUAUUUAUUCCAAAGUCUUUUUUGUACAGAAUGUUAAAAUUGCCCUUUUCAAGUUUAAAUGCAAUUUGGAGUUGGGAGAGAGAGUUUUGUUAUUAUUUUAGCAUAAACUUGCUGUGGAAAUAAAAGAUGGGCUGUGGCAUUGUCAUUUGCCAUUAACAUGUGGCACUUGACAUAUAAGGAAAUACCUAUAUAAAAAUCUUACAUGCUCCUUGUUUGGAUUGCGAUUUUCCGUCAAAAAAUUACGUCGUUUUUCGUGAUCACAUUUUCUUAUUACUUUUUUUUCUCACAUACAUCAAAUCACUACAGUAAUUUUUUUAUGAAAAAUGACGGAAAAUGCAAUCCAAACAGGUUUGUCAGGACUUGGAUGCUCCGGGAGUUCAAUAUUUUGCCAAGUUGCAGCACUGUUAACCAUGUGAAAUAAUAGCCAAGACAACAGCUUCUAUGAAUUUUUUUUUAUUCUGUAUUUGUUUGAUUUAUGUAUUUUUUGAAAUCGACCUAAGAAAUGGAGCAAUCAAUCUAAAGAAUCUUAAAGGAGGAUGGGGAGAAGCAAGUGCUAUUUUCUUUGAUCUUUUUUCAAUUUCUUUCUCUUUUCCUCAUUUCUAAUCCCUAAUUAAGACCUCUGUUAUAAUUUGUUGAAAGCUUAAGCAAUAGAUCAGGUAAUUCCAUGAGAGAAUGGUAUUUUAUUUAACUAUUUAUAAAGCACAAGCUAGUUUACCGUGUGUCGUCUGAAAAUGCAUUCAUGGGAUAUUUGUCUCCUCUUCUCCCACCCCUUAAACUCCCAAACUAGCUGGAAGGAUCUCAUGUAACAUGUAGAAAAUCGAAAUGCUUCCUUUUUUUACGAAUUAAAAAAAAAAAAUUACCAUAAUGUAUCGCAUGUCGUUACAAUUUGCUGUCAACAGAAGACAGCAUCGUAUUUGAUUACCAUGCUUCAAAUGCCGCAAAAGCAUCAAGAAAGAAAGAUGUUCAUUUGACAUCUUUGGAUAAAAGAUUAACUUUGCUGACCGGUCGAGCAUUGCAAAGAUCAUCUGUUGAAUCACCUCUCUCAAAUACACCUGCAGCCCCCAUUCCAGAACCUAGAUAUGCAAAGCAGAGAAAAGAUUGGUAAAGAUUGUCUACCAGAAGACUAUCUGUUGACUACAUGAUCGAUCCUCUCUAAUAACAAUGAAGUAGAAGAAGGUAUAUAACACAGUAAUGGAGAGAAUGUAGGGAGGGACCUAUGCACAUGGAAAUCACACCAAAACGGCAGUCCCUGCCCCUUCGCUUCAUCUCAUGUAAUAAAGUUGCAACACAACGAGCACCUAACAAAAUUUGCAAUCUGUUAUUAUGAUUUUGGCAAUUGUGCAGAUUGGUGCGUUUCACAGAUCAGGAUACCAGAAAUUCAGGGAGACAUGCACAAGGGUCAGAACUGAUCCAAUUAGAGAUGCAGACUUUACCUGUAGCCCCCAAAGGAUGUCCAAGAGCCAUUGCUCCUCCAUUCACAUUAACUUUUUCCAUGUCAAGCUCCAGUUUCUUGCAGCAAUAUACGUAUUGCGAUGCAAAUGCCUGUGGAGUUCAAUGAUUCUAAUUUAAGGUGAAAAUUUCCAUUAACAAAGCAGAGUUAAAAUGCCUGUAAACAAAUCAAGUACCUCAUUUAUUUCAAACAGAUCAAUGUCAUCAACUCCAAGACCAGCAGACUUUGCCGCAGCUGGAAUUGCAACUGCUGGACCUAUUCCCAUCACUGCAGGGUCCACUCCAGCAACGGAGAAGCUCCUGCAUGAGAAGCAGCAGCAAGUUGAUGUCAACUCUUGAGAGCAAUUCAGGCAUGCUCAACAUUCCUAACUCUUGAUUAGAAUAAUGCAUUAUGCCAAGCAUUUUAUUCUCAUUUCAGAAAACAUCAUUCUUUCGUUUUCAUUUUCUUCUCCGAUACUAUUCAACAUUCAGAAAUGACUGCAGCUGCUUCCGCAGAGAGAAGGAAUUGACCUGUCUCAGGAAUCACCAAAUGCUAAUUUAAUGUGCUUUUGUGUAUAGAAAAAUAUUUAAUCUAGCUUAAUCAUACUAAAUAUACAUUGUUAUGGUAGCCAAGUGCCUCCAAUUCUUUUAUGACUCUUAAAUCAGUCUCUCUGCUUGUUAUGGAAUUUCAUGAGUAAAUUAACUUGUCAGUAAGUUUCAAUUGAACAUAGCAUGGCCUAUUGCAAUAACGAUUAGUUCCAGGAGAAACGACAAACCUUCAGUCCAGACUAAUUCCUUUGGAAAAUAAGAACAUCAGAUAAACAUGAUAACUUUAGUGGGUGAAGAUCAUAGAUUUAGCAUAAGCAGCCUCAGGUAAGUAAUUGAUAAAAUCACAAGAGUUACAGGAUUUGUUAGCCAAGCUAAAUACAUAUCUUCAAAAGGACUUCAAAAUAAUGGGCAUAUAAGGUGGGCAAGCUACAUUAAGCAUUCAAAAGAUUGGCCAGAUAUAAUAAAAAUUAAACAAUGUAUUUAUGAGUUUGGCACCUUUUUUUUCAAAGUUUCAACCUUUUUGUAUCCAAUGAGACAUUUGAAAGGACCUUUGUGCUUUUAAUUGAAACAGAAAUCUGGUAAAAGUUUCUUAUCAGUUGGUAAUGAGUGGAUUCUUUGUACCAGAAAACAACCCAAUACAUCCAAACAAGGUGUACAGGGAAGUUUCUAAAUACAAUGCGGUUGAUAUACAUCUAGUACUACAAAUAAGGCCCAUGACAUCCUCUCACUCUUUAUAGAUCAAGAGUCAAAAAUGUCAUCAGAUUAAGGAUAUGUCAAGGAGUAUAAAGCGGUUAACAAAAAUUGAGAACUAAGAAAGGAUUAUCAUUAAAGCUAUACCAGCUUACAAAAAAUAGUAGCUCGACAAAAUUAACUGCCGAGGUACAUGCCAGUUCUCUAUAAAAAGUUGAAAAAACAUCUAUAAGAAGGUAUACCAACUUGCCACAACAUGCAUACCUGAAUAUUCCAAGAAUUGGAAGCCCCUUUUCCAUUGCUAGACUCCUUUUCAUCAGAAGAACUGCACCUGCUCCAUCACUUAUCUGACUAGCAUUCCCUACAAAUGGUAUACUUGUUCAAACAGACUUCAAUAAAAGAUGAAGAUAUGAAGGCACUUGGCAGUGUCUAAUGUCCACUAGAGCUAAACAGUACUUGAGUACCAGCAGUUGUAGUUCCAUCUUUCUUGAACGCAGGUUUCAACUUUGCCAGAUCUGUCAAGUUUGUGCUUGGCCGAAUGCCAUCAUCCACUGAAACUGUAACUGGCUUCUCCUCUCCAUUUUUAGGGUCCUUGAUCUUUCAUGGUAAUCUCAGUUAGAAAGCAUUCGAAACGGAGGACUUACAUUUGGGCUUCAUAUUCUUUUCUAUGUGGGCUAUAUAAACAACAAUAAAAAGAUAGGCUUCACUUUCAAAGAUGAGUCUACUACCUUGGUGAAAACUGGGAUGAUUUCGUCUUUAUAUUUACCAGAUGCAGUUGCUGCAGCAGCACGCUUGUGAGACAUAACCUAUUGUUGCAAUAUUACGAGUUCAAAAAUUUUUCUCCCACCAAAUCAUGCAUCAGAAGAAAUAAAUAGAAAGGUCCAUGACUUACAGCAGCCUGGUCUUGUUCUUGCCGUGUUACCCCAUACCGCUCUGCAACAUUUUCAGAAGUAAUGCCCAUAGGGAGAAGACAGUCCCGGGCUUGUGGAAAGAGUCGACCUGUCAUACAAAUAUCUCCAGUUGAGGAUGCUACUUCACAAAUCAGAAGAUCUGUUCCAAAAGGUAAAGAGUAAGUAGAGCUGAGCUUACUCGUGGAUUAGCUUGUUGGAUGCUAACAUUGGAAUUAGUGGUCAUUGACUCUAACCCAGCCCCAAUCCCUGCAUGGGAAAGAAUUAAACAAGAAAUUUGAAUAAAACUAUCACCAGUUAUUAUUUCGAAAGGUAAUUUUUUUUUACCUAUGUCGUAGAAACCAGCUUUAAUGCAUGCAGCAACAUCAGCAACUGCCUGGAGGCCAGAAGAGCAUUGUCUAUUGACAGUUCUGAUGGGCACAGUUUCUGCAAAAAGGUACAAAAUUAUACAAGAGACAACCACAACUUGCAAGUAAAGGACAUUGAAGAUAAAUGCAGACAAUAACCAGCAAAAGGAAUUAUUUCCCGUAUCUGUUAGAAAGGACUUAUAACAGAAAUAGAAUGUCCAUUUCAUUUAGUUUAUCCUCUUAAACCAAUCAUAAAAUGAUUCCAAUUUAGAAGGCUGCUACUAUAAAUAUUCGUACAAUUUAUAUUCUGCAAUAUUUUUCUCUUCCUGGUUGCCAACUAAAACAAAGCAUCACAUGUCCACUCAUCCAGACAACAAAUUAAACACAAAAGAAAAAAGAAUGAACUAUUUACCAGGAAAACCAGCAUAGAAUGGCCAUCCUGCAUUCAGUUGCUCUUUGUGAACCUGGAGCUACAACAGUGCCCACAACUAUAUCCCCCACCACUCGCUUGUUAAUAUUUGUCUUGUCGAUCAAGGCCUACAAUGAAUGAUAAAUGUAGGAUGAUACACUAUAAUUGUUGAAUGAGAAGUUCCAAUUAUAGAAGUGGAUAACAAAUGCUAUAAUAAUAGAAGAUAGAACAAGAAUGGGCAGCUGACUUAAGAAGCAAAGACAAAGAAAUCUAAGCAUGAGACGUUCCAAAUAAGACACUUAUUUAUUGUUAAUCUAAAUUAUUAUUCAGAAAAUCCAUUUCUGUUUUAAAAACUUAAAACGUAUUUGGCUGCUACAAUAUUCUAACCAAAAUCACUUAGAGCUGUGACCUUGAACAACAUGAAAAUCUGUUCUGCAACUGACCUUCAGAACUGGAGCGAGUAAAUCAUCCGCAAGGGUAUCUUUGAAGCCACCACGUUUUGAUUUGCAUAUCGCAGUCCGAUAUGCCCUGUAGAACAUGACUUGUCGUUAUCAAACUGACGGUAGAAGAGCCAUUUGGCACAAACUAGGACAAAACAAUCUUGACUGCAAGUAACUUACGCUACAAUGACUACAUCAUCUCCAAAAGCAGCUGUCCUCUGGUAAGCAGCACUAUCCCCCGCCAGACAAAUUGACGGCUAGUCGAGUAUCCCAAAAUAAAUUAUACAAAAAAAAGGGUAUGAGAAUCGAAAAGUACAAUAUUGUGUCAUGACUGCAAGUUCUGGGUAAUAGACAAAUGAUGAUCAUAGCAAAGUCUUUGAUACAGUUUAGUUCCCCCAAACGAAAACUUGUCCUAUCUUGAUCUAAAACAAAGUCUUGAGCACAGAUUUAAGAGAUGUUCUUUAGCUUGAAAGCCACGGAUUGAUUAUCAUAUUAUGAAGUUGGAUCACAUCAAAAGUUAUGCUACCAAUUCUAAUUGCAAUCUUGCGUAAAAUAAGCAAAAACUUAUGAUUCGCGCACUAGCUUAGAAGUGAUUGCUUUGGCAGAAUAGCAUGAAGCAAUCCAUAUUCUUUAAAUAAGAAAGUUCUUUACUUGUUUCAACUGCCGUUGAAAUAACACAGCAAAAUACCAUCGUCCCAACAUCCAACUAUAUAACAGGGUAAUGCUAGCUAGUAACCUAACACAGUAGACAUCAAUUAACUUCUAAACUUAGUUCCAGCAUUCCAUCAAGCAAACUGUUGACAGUCAUUAUUCUCAAAAAAAAAAAAAAAAAAAAAAUCUUCUCUUUGGGUAAUGAAAUUAUUGCAAUCACCCUCCAUUUGACGUAAAUUCUAGCCCCCGCCGGGCCACAACCAUCCAUUAAUAACGUGAUUGAUCUAAAAUUUUCAUUUCAGAAUAUAUUUGAGCAAUAGAAUUAUAAAUCUUACAGAAAUUGAAGAAGAUUCUUCAUGGGUCAGCUGAUGAGAAAAGCAAGAAGUGGGUUGCAGGUGUUCCAGCAAAACUUUUUGUCUGAAGAUAGCUUUCUCCAUUUCCUGGCUUCCUCCAAGUUCUCACCAACUCUUUUUUACCCUCUCUUUGUUUCUUGAUCAAUUAAUCAACGAUGUUAAAGCCCACUUUGCACUCGAAUAAGCUAAUUUGGCAAGAUACUUGUAUAUAUAGAGUGGAGGUAGCAGCCUUGAAUGCAAUAUGGCCUUCAAAUUUUAUCGCUGACCAGCAACUUUAAUGGUAAAUAAGUUUUAAAAACCGAAAUUGCUGUGGCGUUUUUGGGUCAAGUUCAACUACCGAAAGCUUGUUGGUAUUCCCUCCCUUUUUUUAUAACUGUCGUUUAAGAAAUUUGCUUCUAAGUACUUUUAUCUGUCGUUUUACUAUCCCUACGCAGCAUUUAUUAUUUUUUCACAUUUUUACCCUUUUAUCUCUCUUACUCCUAGUAAUUAUUGCUUCUCUCUGCCCUUCCAUAUUCUUUCUUCUUUUCUCACCGUAUGUUGAACCCCUUUGUUCUUCUUACUCCUAGUAUGUUGAACCAUUUAAUACAGUGAGAGAAAACAUGGGUGAAUGGAAUAAUUAAUGAGGGUAUAAAAGGAAAGUGGUAUAUAGAUUUAAGCAAUGAAAACUUUUCUUAAUUGACGUGCAAUUCUUUAAACGCCAGUUAUAAAAAAAGGGAGGGAGUAUUAGUCUUUUUCGUUUUUGGCGUUGGUCUUGGUUUUGGGUAUGCGUGUCUUCACCGAUUGCAGUAAUGCACUUGUCUGCCGGUGGGGACUUUGGCAUUAUGAAAUGCAUGAAGAACGUGGUGGGCAGGGCCGUGGGUGGAUAUCUCAAUCCGAGUUUUCCCUGAUUUUGUUGCAUUUGCUCCGAAAGUUCAAUGGGAAUCACACCGUGGAAACUAAGAAAGAAAACUCAUGGAACUUUUGACGAAGCUACACUUGAUCUUCGUGUGGAAAUUAAGAAAGACCUUAGCUUUAUUAGACUUGUUACUGUCAUUUGCACUCAGCACCCCCCGAUUAUUCUUAAACUAUUAAAUUACAGCACGAUGCAACCCUUCUUUUAUUAUUUAUUUAAACUUGUUUUAAUAGGGGAAUGAUGGAACUUUAAAAAGUGGAGAGAGGGCAGGGGAUUAAAUUUAAAAUCUCUAAUUCUUGAGAUCUCAACCUUAAUCAAAUUCGGAAAUAUAAAUAAGAAGAACUCUUUUUUUUUUUUUUAAACUACAUGAAGUACUCUUUUCACCAUAGCACCCCGACAGCGUAUACAUGCCACCAUCCACCAUAUAUAUAUAUAUAAUUUUUAACUUUUUUUUAAAUAUAAGUGAGAGGAUUUGAACCCGAAACCUUAUAGUACUUAUAUUAUCUCUUUCUCUCGAAUCACCCAACCCAUCCCAUCCCAUCCCACUUUUAUAUAUUCUUGUAUUUAAUAUAUUUCUUACUUUUUUCUAGUAAUAUAAAUAUUAACAAAAUAUAAGCAUUUAUGUGGCUACUGAAAAAAGGCCAACCUAGCGCAGUUCACUUAGGUAAGGAGCUUAUGGUCUUUUUAAUUGCAAAGGGCUAACUAGUUUCCAACGUAAUUUAGGCUAUUGAGAAAGUCUACAAUAAACUAUAAAGCGUGAGAUACUAUGUUGCUAUAACUUAUAGUUUAGGGGGCAAAGUAUUAAUCAUGAGUAGUUUAGGCGUGCAAAUUACAACUACCCCUUUUAAUUCAUCUUAAUUGAGUUAAAAUAAAUUUGUUAAGAUUUCAAAUAUUUUUUAAGCUAUUUUUAUUUGAAUUCUCUUGCCCCAUUCGUUUUAAAAAAGGAUUUCAUGGUGGUGUGUGGGACAUGAUCGUUGACUUGUAGAAAGAAAAGAAAGAAGGUCUCCAUUCCCUUGAAGUUUCGGGGAAUUAUUUAAGCUUAAGAAAUUCAUCAACAAGCCAUGAAAUUAAUAACAACCCUUUGCCGCCCUUCCAAGGCAGUCAAGCUGGUCUCACUAAGGGUUAGUACCCCCGAGGUCCAGUGUUCAAGUCUUGUCACAAAAAUGGGGAAUAGCCCAACAACUCGAAUAAGGGUUGGGGUCUGAAGUGGGGUCAGGUCCUUUUUUUAGAUUAAAAAAUAAUAAUAAUUACAACCCUUUGCCCUCAAACAUGUUUUUUUUAAGGAGCAAUUAAUUAAGUAAUUUAAGGUAGUUAAUGGGAUUAUCAAACACCUUAAAGUCCUCACAACAAGUCACUAUAGGGGGGGGGGACAAUCAGGAAGGCCUACUAAAUUAUAAUUAAUUAAAGUGAGUUGUUUCAAAUCCAGAAUAAAUGAAAUAAAAAACAGAGUGAUGGCUGUAUUUAUUUUUUUAAAAAAAGUAAUACUAUAUAAAAUCCCAUGUGUUGCAACAACAUCUCUCUUAUUUCUGCACUUACGGGGCCAAAUUGGCAUCUGAGCCUUGAUUUUGUUGCACCGUGACUUGUAAGAUGGCUAUCAAAGGUUAGGUAUGCUUGUACAAUUCAUUGCUCAGUCAACAGAAUAGAACAUGGAAGAAGAACAGCGAGAAAUCAUAGUAAUUCAAUUGUCUGAUUUCUUUCCUUCUACGUCUUCACAACUUCAUUUAAGAUUUGAUCUGCAUUCAUUCAUGAUGAAAUACCCAGUAUUCAGUUGCAGUGAGCUCUUAUCAAAUACCAGUACCAGAAAAACGAGGAACAAAAACAGAAUUGUACACUUCCAAAGUCGAAAAAACUUUCUUCAGCUUUCUUGGAAUCGAAAAACUGCUCAACUAUCAGUACCGGUUAUGGAGAGUACGACUGGGAGGUACUUGACCAGGACAUGUAAUGUGGUCAGGCAUAACUUAACUAACAUCUUGUACCUUGCCGCCUCGGUGGCUAGGCGGAAGCCGCAUAACCACACAAAUUUAAGAAGCUUUCUACAGUGAUAUUCCACACAAAUUCGAGCUUAAGCUUAUUUUACUUUAAUCAAACUCGAUCAAAUCGAAGUCAAACGAGUUUUUAAGCUCAAAUUUUUUUUAGUGAAUUUCAUAAUUUUAUAAUAAAGGAUAAAAUACACAAAACUCCCUUGUGGUUUGACUAAUUGACACGCUACCUCCUCAUUAUUUAAAAACACUCACACUACCCCCUCGUACUUUAGACUAAAGUGAAAUUUAACCGGUAACCUGUAUGCUACCUGCAAGUGAUGUAUUAUUAUUAUUAUUAUUUUUUAUUUUAUUGUCAUUUUUUCUUUCAAUUUUGGUGCUUUGACUUAACUAUCAUUUGUAUUUUUACAAAUUGUAUAAUUAGUUAUGCACUUUUAAAAUUUUCUAAAAAUUAUUCAUACCCUCUCACUAUUUUGCUCUGCCAUCUCUCUCUACUGACGCCAGUCGCCACCACCACUCGCUGCUUUGUCUCCAAAGAUUUUUUCAAAACAAUGACCCCAAAAUCCUCCCUCAAUUUAUGCAACACAGGGUCCUCGUUAGAUGCUGAAUCAGGAAAUUCUUGUGGGUUCGCUCCGGCCCAAUCACCCGAAUUACGCAGAUUAAGAUCGUAGUACAUACUCUCAGAAGUCGGGUCAGACGGGAACUUCAAAUUGGAGCAUCGGUUGCUCUUGAGCAUUAGAUUGGAGUUGGAGCUUGAGGUUCUUCAUCUUCUUAGUCGGCCUCCAUUCGUUGGGCUUAGGAGGAAUUAUCCGAUUAUCCGGAUUUUUUGCGAUUGGGGCUUUGGAGAAGUCGAAUUCGAUAAUGAAUUCUUUUGACUCUUCGGUGUCGGUGGCAGCGUCAGAGGGUUUCUUGAGGGUCGAAUUUUAGGGCUUUGAGGAGAGGGGGAAAGAAAGCUUCAUCUUAGCAAAGAAUUGAAAGAAGAUUCUAAACUAAAAUCUCCGAUCCCCCAAAAACCUACAAAUAAAGGCGAGGACUACUUGCCAUUACCAAUGACUCUCCAAUGCAAUUGAUGCAGUAAUUUUGCCUGCAAUUAUAUAGGGUUUAAACAAUUUAGGUAUUUUCUUGGCUAAUCCAGAGUGAGAGGAGAGAAUAAAAGACAGAAUUGGAGCAGUAAUUUUGGAUGUGUGCUUUCUUCCUAUGCUAAUUGUUAUGCCUCACGCCAAGGCGUAAGGGUGCCAAAGAGGGAGAGUAUGAAGUGGUGGAAGGGAUGGUGUAGAGUUUGGGUGGCGAGGGGGAUGGUGGUAUGAAAUGGUGGUGCAAAGUUCUGGUGGGAAGGGAUGGUGGUGUGAAGUGGUGGAGGGGAAGGGGAGCAGGAGAGAGGAGAAAAAAGAAAGAAUAAAAAAAUUAGCAGAUGCCAAGACCUUUGCUUCGAUAUUGUGAGUUGUGGAGAAUGUGAAAUGGAGGAAGAAGAAGAGGAAGAAUAGAAAAGAAAAGAAUAAAAAAGGAAAGGAAAGGAAAAUAAAAUAAAAAAGAAAAAAAAUUAGUAAUAGACAGACUACCGGUUCAUAGCAGGUAAAAAAGCGUAAUUCUACUCUAAUCCAAAGCACGAGGGGGGUAGUGUGGGUGUUUUUAAAUAAUGAGGAGAUAGCGUGUUAAUUAGUCAAAUCACAAGAAGGUUUUCUGUAUUUUAAACAAUCAAGUACUUGAAUUUUAAUUUUUUUUCUACUCAAAUUUAACUCGUUUACCUUAUUUAUAAAUAGUUUGAACUCAAUUCGAACGCGAUCAAUAUUGAAUUUGAGUCGAGUCUUUAAUUGAACUAUUGACGAGUCAAAAUCAAGUAGCUAGUAUCAAAUACUUCGAACUCCACUCAAACUCGGUCCUUUUUUUUUUUUUUUUGUCUCCUUUGUAGAUGACUAAUCGAACUUCCAGUUCUAAAUUUUCUUAGACAAGGCAAACAACCGUCGGGCCGGACGAUUGGAUUCAAAACCCAGCUUCUCUUGGGUAAAGUGAAUUAGUUCUUGACCGGAGCAAACUCUGCGUUGGCUAUUAGAUUACAGACUGAGUGGUUGAAGGAUCGCAACCGUCAGAAUCAUCCUUUAGUGGAUGAGGGGACCUGGACCGUUCUCGUUUGUCCCCCGCUAGCUUGCAAGGAAGGAGUCCGUUCAAGGAAAGUGCAUCCGUGACCCCAGGUGUAAUCAGUAAUCACCCGACCUUUUACUGUCUCGUCUCUCGCAUUCGUGCUAAAUAUGUUUGCGCGAUUGCCUUUGAUACAAGGCUAUGGCAAUUCGCACCCAGUCGCACCGACCCGAUCGUGGGGUAUUAUUCACUUGGAAAAAGUGUUUUGAUAGUUCCAUUGCAGAUCAGCAAAACCAUAUGCUGCAUACUCUAAUUUCUCUUGCGAUCAAAAGGUGAGCAUAUUAGCGAAACUUGCCAUUGAAGAUGUAAAAGUGGUUUAGCUCUUGUGUUACAAAACUUGUCUUUUAAUUCUUCUAUCUUCAAAUUGCUUUUUGUUUCUUUUUUUUUUUUUUAUCAAAAUGGGUUGUGAGAAUAUUUCUCAUUGAUAGCUUAUUAUUUCACUUAUUAUGUCCAGAUAAAAAACCAAAGAAAUUUUAUGUGUAGUUUGUUUUGUCAGUAUAUGAAUUAUAAAGCAUAGUUAUACAUCAAGUAAAUGCAUCUACAGACUGAAAUUUUGCAAUUAUUAACAUAAUUCUAAUGUAGCAAUAUACUACUCAAAAAUUUUGAGGUAAGUACGAAUAAUUUAUCUUUUUUUUAACAUGGUAAAAAUAAUUGAAAUGUGAGAUACCAUACAAAGCAUUAGUUGUGGUCAUAUUGAUGCACAACUCUCUAAUCAGCUUUAGGCUUAGUUUGGGAGUUUAGGAUAGAAAAGAAACUAAGGAAAAACUUAAAUUAUGAGAGAAGAGAAAGAGAACAAUGUUAUGUUGUUUGAGAGUUUUAAAAAUUAGUGGAAUAAUUUUGGAUACGGAAGUCAUUAAAUAUUUAUUCAAUAACUUUUUAAGGACAAAAUGGGCAUUUUGAAAAUAUUUGACAAGCUUCCUCAAAGUUUCCUUUCAUUUCCGUCCAAUUUGAGAGAAAAAGUUUUGACUGCUGUGACGCUUGAAUCCUCCCAUUUCUUUCAUUUUUUGUUCUUACUAAAAAGUAAAAACUAACAAACAAAGAAAAGUUUGUUUGGACAAGAAUGAUUUGAAAAAUAAUAAUUUACUUGCAUCAUUCCAACAUACCUUUUUAUCUUUUCAAUCAUUUUUUUAUCUCACAUACAUCAUAUUGCAUAUAUUGAUUCAGUAAUUAUUUUAAAUAAAUAUCUCAAAUAAUCGCGCAUCCAAACAUAUUCAGACUUCUUUCCCUUUUUUCUGUCUAAAUUCUCAACUCCAAAACAAAGCCUUAAAGUUGUUUUUUUGUUCGCAUCGCGCAAUAUCCUUUUCUUUUUUUUUUCUCUUCUUAUAUCACACUUCCACGAUGAUACUUUAGAAGCCGCGGGAGGAGGAGGAGUUGUCUAUGAAAUUGUGAGCUUGAGAGGAAGCCUCAACGGUGGUCAACAUUCAAGAUAUUUUUUUUAGUCAAAAUGUCACUUCAAUUUAUAUUGAUAUAAUUAGUGCCUUUACAAGCAUUUACUAUAAUUUCGGGCAACUGCCAUACGAGAUGACUACUUCUCAUUCAAGAAUUCGGACGGUUAAAAGUUUCCUCUGGUCUAGACCGUACAGCAGCCCAAUGAUAAGAUUUAUUAAAGUUUAAGAGGACGAUGCUCUGACUCAAUUGCGCUCGUAGACUCGCGUGCAUGUGACAUCUGAAUUCCAAAAUCAUUUGUACCGACCUUUUAUUACAGCCAUGCGUUGAGUUAUUUUGUGUGGAUAUUGCAUUUUUUAUUCAAAAUAAAAAAUGGUGUUUUUUAAGGGAUAAUUUCAUAUACCCCGUCGAGGUUUCUCGUAAUAUCACUCAACUCUUCUGAAGUUUUAAAAAUUUCGUUUACUUUUCUUAAAUUGACAUUUCUUGUAACAUUUUAAUCCUUUUAGAAGAAAUACAAUAAAGAUACAACUUUUGUUUCAAUACUACCUUUAUAUUGUCCUCUUAUGAAAUUAUAACAAUAAUAAAAAAUAAGGUUAAAUUUUUAUAAGGUGUAAAUUUUUUGACGAAACUAUUAUUUUAGUCGUGUUAGAACAAAAAUAAAAUUUACACCUUGAAAAAUUCACGCAUGUGAAGAAGAGAUUAUUUAGUUUUCAAUACAAUUUAAACUACACCAUGAAUUAAAACAUAAUUCCUCAAAAUAUAUCUAGAUUUUCUUAAUUGUAACUUAACUAUGCACGAAAAUUUUCAAGAGAUUAAUUACUUACCAAAAUCCUCCUAAGUUGUUGACCUUGAUUAAAUUUAAUUUAUCUACGUCAUUUGCUAUUCCACCAUGAUCCUAAUAUAAAGAAAUGUGAACCGUUAUUAGCUAGCAAUUUAUUUUUUAAUUUUAAUUUUUGGUUUUAAAAUUUUAUUUUAUUUUGGCUUUGUGCUUAAAUAGUUAUUAAGAACAAGAGGCAGUGUUGUCAAAUUGUGACCUUUGAUAUGAAUAUUUAGUCUUAUCAAGUUGAUAGUAGAAGUAAGUGAAAUUUUAAAAAUUUUAAGAGAGUUGAGUGAUAUUAUGACAAACCUCAUAGGAGGUUUCUAAAAUUAUCCCUUGUUUUAAUUUUUUCUCAAAACUAGCAAUCAAAAAUACAAGUUUUUUUUAGUGAAUGGGGGUACAUCUACAAAUUAGCAGGAUAUAUUCAAAUUUUUUUCAAAAGGCUGCCCAAUAUUCAAAUUUUUAUUUUGUUUCAGUAGAGGUGAAUUGAACAAUGAGUAACUUUGACCAAGAUUUCAACAACAAAUUUUCUUCUCCUCCGUACUUCUUUCAUAGUAGACUUAGCAAUCUUUUUUUUUUCUGAAUAAAAAUCUAUGUUUUAAUUGUAUCUUAUCAAUUUGAGAUUUACAAUCAUAUGGAGUUUAAGUAAAAAAGAAUAACAGGGAAAUGGGAUACUAAGAAUAGUAGGAUCGAAAGUGAAAAAAAAAUGACAGAUAAAUUGAAAUAAGAUAGAUUUGAGUAUGACUAGAUGUAUAGUUUAAGAAGAAUAGUGAAAGAAAGGUGUUUGUUACUCCUUUUUGUUUUUGUUUUUCUACCGUCUACACAAUGAAAAGUGAAGAAAUAGAUGACUAUUAUUUCUUCUCAAAAAUUUAAUGUCAAUGCUUACAAAUUCUCAUUAAAAGUGGUGAUAAUUUUUAAAAUUUAAAUAUGAAACAAAUAUUAAUGUACAUCAUUUUCAAACCAAAUGUCUAUUAGUUGUAAAGGACUACUCUUUAUGAGUUUGAUAUUUAUUAUUGACUCCCAACAUUUGAAUAUUGAGCUUAUUUUGAUAAUUGUUCAAGCUGUAGCAUGAACAAAUAUUUAUACAAUCAAAAAAAAUUAAAUUCAAGAAAAUUGAUAAAUUGUGAAGGUAGUUAAAAAAUAUGAUAUUGAGCCAGACUGUAACCUUUUUUUUUUUUUUUUCUUUUUUGAAAGCCGGUUGUAGCAUUCAAAUGGUAGACGGGUCAAUUGUAAUUUUGAAACGACCCGCAAUUGUGUCCAACUGGAGUCAGUUGCGAGUGGCAAUGACGAGCAUUUUGGCGUCAGCAUACGUAAUUAUAAAAUGAAAAUCACAAAAAAAAGCUCUCUGGUCUGAAUCUGAUGAUUAGACAGAAUCGUUGCUGUAGGCUAGUUGCGGUUAUUUCUUGUCCUCCGCUCGAUUCCAGCAUAAUCUCAGACCCUUCACCCACUCCCUCUAACGUGCCUUUUUUUCGGAGGGGGGAAAAAAAAAUUCUUUUUUCUUUUCCUCUGUCCUUACUGUUACUUCCUCAACUCUUUGCUUCACCAACACUCGUAUCCAUAGCUACCUUACCGAUAUAUAUUUCUGGAGUUCUGGAAAGCUCUUCAGAUCUGGAUCGAAAGGAGCAGGAACGGCGAAGUUCGCCGGAAACGGUGAUGGCGGAGUCGUUGGAGAAAGUUGACCAGGCUAGAACUUCUUCGACUUCCAGCGAAGUUUCCGUGGAAUUAGAGAAGGAAGCUGAAGGCGGAAGUAUUAGAAAUGGUUAUGGUGGUGAAGUACACACCGUCGACUGUAGCAGCAGUGAUGCUCCAGUUUCUAAUGGCGGAGGUGACUCUUCAGGUUUAUUGAUUGAACUCGUAGCAAAUUUUUUUUUUUUUUGCUUUCCCAUGCGAAGUAGUAGGACAUGAAGGUCGAAAUUACGACGAUUAAGCUAAAUCGAACCCCCUUCCCGGCUGAUGCAUCCUUUUUGGUUCUGAUGAAUUAGAAACUUCUCAGUUCUUGCGCAAUUCGAAGUGGAACUCUCUUUUUAAGUUCUCUUUCUUGAAAUUAGGGUGUCUACGUUUUGGUAUGGAAGUAAGAUGAGAGAUGUGACUGUUUGAUUGUUGUUUGGCAUUGGAAUGGUAAAAGUUCCAAUUGAAUUAAUUGCUAUUAAUUUGCCAGGAACCGCUGGGAGUAUCUCCAGAGUGACUACAUUACAACCUGAAAUUCUGAGUUUAGACAAAUUGGAACCACCUUUAAAUAAUUUUACGUUGGAAAGAGCAAAAACUGAGGGCCAGAGGCAUCAUAACAUACUUUCUGAAGAGGCAGCACAAAUUUUUGACGACAAAAUUCCUGUGCAACAGAAGGUAUUGUUAUGUCCUUAUUGUGUUUGCGUGUUUCUUUCACAUGACAACAUUGCGCAUCAUUUACAAAAAAAGGUGCUAGACUGUUAAGGGCUUUCUAUUUUAUUUUUAUUUCUUUUUUCUUCAGGGUUUAUGAUGUGGAUCUUGGACUUUAUUUAUUGUCAAAAUUAGUUUACCGGCUAGAGUGAUUGCUAACAUAAACGACUAAUAUUGUAUUUGUGUGGCAUUCAUCGAUCAACCUGAGAGUUGAAGAAGUUUAUUAUAAUGUCCUGCUUUCAUUCUUUUUUCGUCUACCUGUUAUCUGUCUUCUUUCUUGCUUUAUCUCCUUCUUUUGGUCAAUUUUCUCUUCAAUAGUUAAAAUUAAUCAAUUUUGAAGCAUGAAUUUGGUGAAAGACCAAUUAAAAAUUUGAAUAUAUUGUUCUGGCCAUUUGGUCUUGGAAGAAAUGCUGUUGAUAAUGGUCAAUUGAAAAGAUUAAAGAGUGUGUGGAAGUUCUUACAGUUGUCAGCUUUUGUGUUAGAAAGAAUUCCUUUCAGCUCUCGCGUAUGGUUUGAACUUGCAGUCAUGGGGAAUGUUGUAGAAGCGUGCAUCCUCAUUGGUACAUGCAUCCUCAUUGGUACAUUCAAAUGCCACCAUAAAUACGUAUCUAUACAUUAUAUAAAGCUAGUAUAGUAGCAGUUGUUGUAAACAUUUUUGCAUUUUUUGAAAUUCCAAUUUUACCCUUAGAAAAACUAAUUUACAUCCUAAUCACCUAAUCACAGCUUGCCAACAUAGCCGCUCAUAACUACCCUAAGUAUUGUAACUACCAAAUUAACUAUAAUCUCAUUGAAGCAAAUAUUAAUAAAUCAAAGUUCUUUAAUGAAAAAUGUUAAUGUAAAAAAACAUAAUUUGCGCAAAACUAAUUCAUGUAAUAAAUUAAUUAUUUCUAAAUUGGACACAUAUCUGUGUGUUCUUAACACUAAUAUUAUAAUAUCCUGGAGAGCUUCCUGAGAGAGCGUGAUGUAUUGAUGAUCAACAAAAAACACAAUGAUAAAAUAAGAUAUGUGAAAUAUCACUUUGGUGCACGAAGGUAACAACCAUGGAGUUAGAUGAUGGUCUACCAGACUAACACUGUCUUGAACCACUCAAAAAGCAAGAAAAAAAAAAACAGUCUUGAACUAUUUGUUAUGCCCCAUAUUUGUGGAGUUUUUAGGGUGAGGAAAGUGUGACUAAUUAAUAUCUGUGAUAACUAUAGAAUUUUGUUCGUCUCUGUUCUUUUGGUUCUUUUUUAUGAAAUGCUAAUCUCUACACUACAGGAAACGUUUAGCAUCUCUAUCACACAAAUAGGAAGCCAUGUGGAAAUCAUGCCAUGGAAAAAACAAAAUCAUAUGUUGCCUUAGGGACACUGGUUUAGCUGUAGACAAUAGGCCACGUCUCUCCCUAUAAAUUCACUUCUUGUGCAUUUUUCUUCAGCUUUCUUAUAUUGUCAACCAGUGUCCACUUGUUACUUGCUUCAAUAUAUUACAGAAGCAAGUUCCAGCAUACAGUUCUCACCUGUGAAAUUCCUUGAGUUUUUGAAUCUUAAUCCUUUUAUGAACAGUCCAGCAUUUAAAGAAAAUUAGCUUAAUUUGAUUUCAAGUUGGUGAACAUUUUGCAAGUUUGACUGAGCUUAAGCAAGAUAAUUGGUUUCUUGGUUGGAGUUUGUAUUGGAAAAGUUCAAUGUCUGACGCAGGUUGUUGAAUAUUGUUCUUCAGAUUACAAGGUCGAUGACUAUUUGGCAUUUUCAGUUCAUAAAAGGAUGCAUUGAGGUCUCCUUAAUGUGUAUUAUCCUAUUAUUGUUAUUAGAUGCAUUUAUUCAUUUACAAAGAUCAGAUACUGACUUGGUGUAUCUAUUAAGAGCAGUUAUUUUCCAAUUUGCAUCAGUUUCAUUAAGAUGCUUUUUGGUGCAAUACUAUUAAUGUUAUAGCUGCAUACAGUGUCAUGAAGUUUCUAAAUCUUGGUGAUCUCCUUACUGUAGAUUACUUAUUGCACAUGGUGACACUUUAAGUACUUACAUGCUUGCAAUCUUUUUUUAAACAUUUAAAAAAUUGCAGCUCAAAUUGUUGAACAGAAUAGCUACUGUCAAAGAUGAUGGAACUGUAGAGUUUGAAUUUCCUGGAGAUGUUGAACCUCAGGCUAUAGGAAUUGCCAGUGAACAACCAUCUGAAGCUGAUGACAUACCUCUUGAUGAUACAGAACUUCGCUAUAUUCCACCACUACAGAUAGUGGUGCUUAUAGUUGGAACACGUGGUGAUGUGCAACCAUUUAUUGCAAUUGGAAAGAAAUUGCAGGUACAUUUGCUCUGCCUUGCUAACUGAUAUCUUGAUUAUCAUCAUUUCUAGGUACAAGAGAACUUAUUAUGUAUAUGCUCAUGCAGUAUGCAGCUCCACUCCCUAAGAAACAUAGGUUUCUUAAUGUCAAAUUAUCUUUCCUUCCAACUAGGAUAUCUUUGGGUUUUCUGGUCAUUUGUACUCUUUCAGUUGGUUGCCUACUGGUCAGGUGUAUAUUAUCAUUCCAACCAUAUAUGAUACUGUCCAGCUGUGAGUUGAGGUUUGCAUGAUUUGCAUUGUGUGGAGUGCCACUGUUUUCUUUAUUCUGUUAUAAAGUUUAGAAGAUACUGGAUUUGGAUUUCUCUUCAUUUGCCUGCACCAUUGGAGGAUACAGGUGUCAUAAAUGCAACAGCUUAGACCCUAGUAUCUGGAUAUUGUAACUGCGACAUCAACCACUUUUUCUUCCCAUGGUUUUGGGCAACCACCGAUCCAUUUUGGGAAAAGGAUGUUGGUUGUCAAAUGUUUCUUUUGGUGUUCCAGUUCUAAUCUAUCAAUAAAAAUAGGCUUUUGGGAGCCUCCUUCUAUAGUGUUUACUUAUUGGAAUAUAAAUGGUUUACCAUGUUUUUGGGCCAUCUAAUUUGGCCUAGAUGAUUAGCACUUGAUAACUCUAGAAAAGCUAAAAAAGCUGAGUCCAUUGGAGCUGCAAUCUCCUUGAAACUAGAUCUUGGAUGAUUUAUUCUUCUCUCUUAAACAGGGAUUAGUAAGUCUAUCAAUCAUCAUUAAAGAUAAUAAUGUGAUUGAGUCCAUGAAAUUUUACUGAUAAAGAUUUUGUUGCAGGACUAUGGCCAUCGUGUAAGGCUGGCAACUCAUUCAAAUUUUAAAGAGUUUGUGUUGACUUCUGGGUUGGAAUUCUAUCCUCUUGGUGGCGAUCCAAAAGUCCUUGCUGGAUGUCCGUACUUCAUUUUUCCUGUUUAAUUUAAUACAAUUGUCAUGAAAUGAUUGUUUUUUUCUGUUCACGACGAACUUAUCUUGUAUUUGAUGUUAAAGUUUCUUUUAAACUGCCGAGGAUGUGCUUCUGUGUUUACUUGUUUGAUAUGUUUUGAUCAAUUAAUGCAGGCAAGACUUCUGAUUAUAUCCUAAUCAAAUGACACAUGAACAUCUUGUAAAGCUGUCAACUGGUUUAGGAUGAUGGGUUGGAACAUUGUUGCUAAGACGAUAUGGACAAUUAUAUUGGAUACAGGCAUCCAUUGAAUUUGUUUCCUGUUUUUGCCUGUCAAAUAUUGUGCAUACCUGAUUUCCCAAUUCUUUUUGUCUAUACAUUUUACUGUUGUCACACUGAAAUGCGUCCACACGAAAGGAAAGCAACUUUUGACUCUAAUAGACAUGUCUUUACAGUUAGAUAAGACAUGCUUUCUGAUAAUCAUGAUGUAUACAUAGCAAUCUUAUGGUUUAUCAGGCUUUAAAACAUCUGAAGUGUAAAGUUUAUAAUGUCCAUCUUCAUUUUGCAGUGCAUUAGUAUGCUUUAUCAGGUUAUUGUUCCUGGGACUAGAUUCUUCAAAUCAUCAUCUUUUUCUAUCUAAAAAUUCGUUUCUCCUUUAGUUAGCCAUAUCUUGAACAUUUGAAAAGUGGAUAAUGUGCAUUCCAAUAUAAAGCACUUUACUGCAGCAAUGGAUUUGAACUCCCAGAAGUUCAAAGUUCUGAAAUAUCAGUGCAUCUUUCUUCCCUGCUGCUAUGUGCUAACUACGACUUCACUCCAAAUAUUGUCCCUGCCAGGCUCUCGACUUAACCCUGCUUUCGUCUUCUUAUUAGCACUUCCCCAGUUCGAAGAUUUGUCUUUCUGUUGCAUCUGAUCUUGGUUUGUAGAUCAUCCUCUAUUUUGGCUAGCUUUUGGGAUGCUAAUAUAUUUUUUAAUGUACUCUAAGUUGUGGUGUUGGGGCUUUUAGCAGUUUGUAAGGCGGUCAAAUCUGAACUUGGUAAUAUAUUGAGACAUAAUUGAAUUACCACUAAGUUUUCAAAUUUGGCAUUUUCUCAUUGGUGAAUGCUUGUGCAGUAGCAAGGAUGUUAAAUAACGGUUCUGUUUUUUUUUUUUCCCCUUCUUUUGAUUGGAAUUUUUGCAGACAUGGUUAAGAACAAAGGUUUUCUGCCAUCAGGACCUUCAGAAAUACCUAUCCAACGGAAUCAAAUAAAGGAAAUAAUAAAUUCUUUACUCCCUGCUUGUAAAGAACCUGAUGUUGAUACGGGAAUUCCUUUCAAAGCUGAUGCAAUUAUUGCAAAUCCUCCAGCAUAUGGUUAGAUUCCAUAGUCUAUUAAAUCUACUGGUCAUUCUUGUCCACUUCAUUACACAAUUGCUUGUCCUGUGCCUUGUAGUAGAAGCUCCCCCCCCCCCCCCCCCAACAAACAAAAAAUGCAUGUCAAUAAUCAGCAGGUUUCUUUCAUUAUAUAAUUCAACUAAUUUAAUAAAGUAACCCAAAAAGUCCAGUUAACAUCUUUGACACAACCCAAAAAGUCCAAUAAUAACACCUAUGUGGUUAUAUGUAGUUGGGCACCUCAUAAAGUUCAAGUUUAGAUGAUUAGAGGAGAGUGUCACUAAAGAUGCAGGCAAACACAUUAAUAUCUGCAGCUAACCAAUUUAAGUUAUGUUUCAGGACAUACACAUGUUGCAGAGGCAUUAAAAGUUCCACUCCACAUAUUUUUUACAAUGCCAUGGACGUAAGUUUUAUAUGGUUAGCAGAGUUAUAACAAAUGUAGUUUUAGUUCAAAUUCAUUAUAUCGUUGAUUAACCUUCUUAUCCUUAUGUAUUUGCAACUGCUGAUUCUAGAUAUAUUGACCAAUUAGCAUCUUAUCUUUCCAACAGGCCAACUAGUGAAUUUCCCCAUCCUUUAUCCCGUGUUAAACAACCAGCAGGAUAUAGGGUAAUUGUUCAUUUGUAAUUUUUUGCGAUCUUGUCAUCAUUUAUCUGAAAUUUUGUGCUUCAGAAUUCCUUUCUCUUGUCUUUCCUCUGGGACUUUUCUCUCACUAGUUUUAUCCUCUCCUCUUCCCAAUUGUUGGUUGCUUCACCAGAAUUUUUGUUUCCUGGGUAACAAUUGUUCGUCUGAAUUCUGCAGCUUUCAUAUCAGAUUGUUGACUCCUUAAUCUGGCUAGGAAUAAGGGAUAUGAUAAAUGAUGCAAGAAAGAAAAAACUGAAGCUACGGCCAGUCACUUACCUGAGCGGCUCACAAGGCUCUGAGUCUGAUAUUCCGCAUGGUUACAUAUGGAGUCCCCACCUUGUUCCUAAGCCAAAAGGUAUUAAACAGAUACCCCCUAUUAUGAGAAAGUUAUGCUUCAUUUUCCAAGAAUCCAGGAGGUUUUAUAUCUGAACAUUUUACAAUUUUGAGUUUGUUGAAUGGGUAUGCAGUCUAUUGACAAUUAGAUAUUAAUUAUUCUAGAUCUCAUAGCUUGUGACUUGUUUUCUUUCUCUUGGCAUACAAUGCAGCCUGGACUGAUGUUUUAGAGUCUGACCCUUCUUUGUGUUUUUUAUUUUGUAGAUUGGGACAAAAGGUGGUGUUGUAGGUUUUUGCUUCCUUGAUCUAGCAUCAAAUUAUCAGCCUCCUGAACCACUUGUAAACUGGCUUAACGCUGGUCCAAAACCCAUUUACAUUGGAUUUGGUAGCCUUGUGAGUUUGGAAAAUUCCAACUUUACUGUUAUGUGUUCACCAUUCCUGUCAUGGUGGUUGACUUUCUUUUUGGUUUUGAUAUAGAGAAGAUAGUCCUGAUUGACUUUGGUUCCCUUGAAUUUCAGUUACCAAUCAGCUAAUCCCUCAUCAUCUUGGACAACAUCACUUGAAAUCACUGCUUUGACAAUAACUAUUCUUUUCCCUAUGAAUACUCCAAGCAGCUCUUGAAAUGCCUUUCUGAUUAUGAUUCUGCUAAGUACAGCUUUGAGCUUUCGAACUUUUUACGUCUUGUUCACAGGCUUCAAUCCCAUCAAGCUGGUAGAAUUUUUUCCCCUCUCUUGAUGGACCAACAUCAGUUGUACCAAAAAGGAGUUAACAGAACUAUUUUGUCAUUGGUUGGGUUUUAACAGAUCCUCUGUUAAAAAAUACGCUGGAAAAAUUCUUGGCUAUCCCUCAUUUAGUGAGAAAAUUCACCUAACAUGCUCCAUACUUUGGCACUUAUUCAUACAUCUCCAUUGCUAUUUGACAUUAUAAACUGCUAUUACAUGCCUUCAUGCACCUUGGCUAUCCAGAUUUGUGUCUCUUUUACCUUAAUCUGGCAUGUAUCUUUUGUCUCAGCCUGUUCAAGAGCCAGAGAAAAUGACCCAAAUAAUUGUUGAAGCAUUGGAGAAAACUGGGCAAAGAGGCAUCAUUAACAAAGGCUGGGGAGGCCUUGGUAACUGUAAGUUUUUGUUUCUUGUCCUUGAUUCUCUUGUUUAUGAUUGCAUUGGCAAAUUCAUACUUCUUGCUAUAGGGAUUCUCUGUUAUUGAUUUAGCUGAUUUCCUUCCAGUGGCUGAACCAAAGGACUUCAUAUAUUUGCUGGAUAAUGUCCCUCAUGAUUGGCUCUUCUUGCAAUGUGCUGCCGUGGUAAGCUUUUGUCAUCUUUGUUGCAAUGUGCUUGCUUGAACUGGUGUUAUUAUGUGUUUAUGGACAUGAAUGUUUUCUUGGAAUUCUCAGAGUAGCAUAUUGCUUUAAGCAUGGAGAAAUAGAAGUUCAUGAAAUCUCUUUCAAAUGUUAUUUUUUGAUGACUGUGUAUUGAUUGGUGGAUACGAGUAUGACCAUAAUUUUGCACUACAGUUGGUGGAAAGACAUGAGUUCAAGAUAGCUUGAAGCAUUAAAAAUCAUUGUUCUCUCUGAACUUCAUACAGAGAGAGGGAUGGCAUUAGUUUUAAUAAUUAGUUGACAUUUCACUAUCCUUGGGCAUACAGUGUGUGCAUACAGCCAGAAACUUGAAAAAGAACAAAAAAAAAAGGGUAAAAACACAGGGCGGUGAUAGAGUCAGCUUUAUUAUGUGGACCAACAUGGUCUGCAGCCAUUUGAGCAGCUAAUAAACCAGUUUUUUGAGCAUACAGUUAAUAGCAAACAUGACAGUUCUAGCAUUAAUUGAUUUAUGUUUUUGGUAUAACAAACUCUAGCACAGGUUUCCAAUAGUAAAUUCGAGCUGGCGUUGCCAAUUUGUGAAAUCUACACCUGUAGCUUCUUUAUGAGAGUUUUGGUCUUACUUUUAAGUCAUUUGUAAUUUCUGUUGUGCAUCUAAGAAUUCAGAUCAGAUGAAUAUUUUUGGUUCAAUGUCUAUUUGAUUAAAUGGUGCUCUUUGUUCUGAGCUGGACCUGAAAAAGUAUCCUACCUGCACUCAUAUAUGAGCAGGUGAGCUUAAUCCCCAUUGUUUUGCAUUUUGUUUCAGGUGCACCAUGGAGGUGCUGGAACAACAGCUGCUGGUCUUAAGGCUGCGGUAAGUAGAACAUGAAACAAUGUAACAUAUAGCGGAUUGUUUGAUUAUUGUUUCUGAAGCUGUACAUGACAAUCGGUCCAAACUGCAGUGUCCAACAACGGUUGUACCUUUCUUUGGUGACCAACCAUUUUGGGGUGAGAGAGUACAUGCUAGAGGUGUAGGUCCUCCUCCUAUACCAGUCGAUGAAUUCACACUUCCAAAAUUGGUUUAUGCAAUUAAUUUCAUGUUAGAUGCGGAGGUACUUGUGCGAAAUUUGCUUUUGUCUAAUAUCCCUUCUCUCCGUUUGAGGCCUUGUAAGGAAAAAUAUUUUUUGUGGUGCUAUUCAAAUGAUGAUGCACAGGUUAAAGAGCGUGCAGUUGAGCUUGCAAAGGCUAUGGAGGAUGAAGAUGGAGUAACAGGAGCAGUGAGAGCCUUCCUCAAACAUCUGCCGCGUAAAAAAAUGGAGCCCGAGCCAGUACCUGCAGCUUCAAGCUUUCUGUCUAUAAGAAAAUGCUUUGGCUGCUCUUAGGAUUUUAUUUGUGGUACCAUGCUUUUGGAUUUGUCUAUUCUUGAUUAGUCGUAGAUUUUUGAUAGUGUAAUUAUGUUUGCACCUCGUUUUUUCUUUUGGCCUUUCUCCAGUCCUAAUUUUUCUUACCUUGUCUAUAGCUUUUCAAAAUCGGUUAGUUUUUCCUCUCGCCAAUUCCAAUCCCCAGUCAAAGGGAAGAAAUGUAUUCAUGCACUCGGCGGUUACCGAUCAUCUUGAUUAAUCUUCAUUCAAUUAAGAAAUUAUUCUUAAUCAUUCAUUCCUGAAUCUGUUGCUGGAUGGAUGUAUCCGUUUAUAAACACACAGUCUCUCUCUCUCUCUCUUCCCCCCCACCCCCCAUCCUCGAUUAUUCUCGCACUUGGCCACGGGGUCCUGCUGGUAUGAUUUUUUUACUAUUUUCUUAAAGGAUCAUUUGAAUGCAUUUUUUUUGUAAUGCUUAUUAAUCUAUAUGUGCGAUAUGGUUAUUGAUUUCUUACCAGGACCAGCCGGGCGAUCUUUGGCGGGGGGGAUUAGGAAAAUUCUCCUACUGCCAAGGCAAUAUUAAAUUGGGCUUUGCUUAAACUAGUUCGUAUGCCGAAUCUUAGAAAACGUUAUGAUAUUUGCCUUCUGGGGUUGGCCGUCGCAGCGAGUCAUUAAUUCGGGAGAUGCUGUUGAGCUGCAUUCUUGAUUUCUUUCUCAUGGUUAAAGAAAGCAAAUCUACGGCCUUGUUUUCUGGUCGGGGACAUUUGCCGACCGAUAAUUAAUUGCAUUGUAAAUUUGCGGUUGGCGUGGAGAAUCGGCACUGCAGUUCUCAAGCAAAGUUUAUGACCAAAGUGGUUUUGUAAGUUGUAGGCUCUUUUGAUUCGUUGGUGAGUGCUAUGACACAGUUUGGGAAAAAACGAUGGGGAGGUUCAUUAUGCAGCAGCAGUAUUCACUACAAUCCGUGGUAAAUUGUCUUGUACGUGUGUCAUGUGGAAAACCCAG
rnacentral:lncRNA from 1 species